AUCACUGGCAUAGUCCUUGGUCUUCUUGGCACCAUCACUUGUCUUUUGAGCACUAUAAUCUUUGGUCUUCUUUGCAGCAUCACCAGCGUCACUGGCAUAUUCCUUGGCUUUUUCAGCAGCAUAAUCUUUUGUCUUCUUAGCAGCAUCACUAGCAUCGCUGGCAUAGUCCUUGGUCUUCUGAGCAGCAUCACCAACAUAGUCCUUGGUCUUCUGAGCAGCAUCACCAACAUAGUCCUUGGUCUUUUGAGCAGCAUCACCGGUAUAGUCCUUGGUUUUCUGAGCAGUACCACUGGCAUAAUCCUUGGAUUUCUGAGCAGCAUCAUCUGCAUAGUCAGAGACUUUCUUGGUGGUGGAUUCCUUGGGUUCUUGAUCAUGUUUGAAGCCAAGUCCCUCGGUGAGUUUCUCUUUAGCCCAUUCUGUCCAUGACUCUGUAGCUUCUUUCCCCUCUUUAGCAGUGUCCAUGGCCUUGUUGGCUGUUUGUGUGGUCUUGGCUUUAGCCUCCUCAAAAUCACGACCUUCCUCUUUGGUUGAAGGCAUGUGGCCAACACUAGUGCAGUAACAGUUCAUGGCAAGCAACAUCACCGCCAUCACCAAAACCGAAAUCACCUUGGAAGCCAUGAUAGUAUCUGAAAGGUUAAAAUGGAAGUUUGAGAAUAAAUAAAUGAACAAGUUUGUGAGAUUCGAGAACAAAUGAAACAGAAGUGGUGGUGGAGACUGGUUGGGGGAUUGGGAGGUUUAUAUAAGGGAGUGGAGUGAAAUGAUGAAGAUGGGGGCUGUGAUGCAUGCAACGUGGCAUCUUUACAAACAUGUCAAAAUUGAACGUGUCAGUUAGAGGAACAAAUAAUGUCUCAAACUGCAUGCCAUGCCAUCAUUUGCUUCUUAAGAUAUAGUUUUUGAAGUAGACACGUGUCAGUGAAAGUGAAAGAAUGGUAGAUUGGAAGUAGUUAUAAUUUUCUGGUUGCUUCUUCUACUCUCUCUAUUUUUGCCUUUGCUUCUUUUAUUUCUAUCCUUCACACCGCCAAAGAACUCACCCUCAUCUGUUGCCUUUUAUUUACUUUCUUCUUCUUCUCCAAUCAAUCAAAGUUUUCUAUAAAAUAUAACCACCACUUUAUCUAUUUUUUGUUUCAACUUUUGUUCAAUAUAUCUUUUGUUUCUAAACUUAUCACGCAAAUUCUUACUUUACCACACCUACCAUUCCAAUUUGAAUGCUACUUAUACCUUUUAAAAUUUUCAAAAUUAUUCUUUAUUUAAAUUUAAAAAUCUGAAAUUUAAAAAAUAUAUUUCAAAGAUGUAGAAAACACAAAAUCUUAAAUUCUAAAUCUAAAUCAAAAUUUUAUUCUGUAAAAAUAAAUUUGAAAUGUAAAAAAAUAUAUUUUAAAAGAAAAAUUCAAAAUUAAAUAUCUAAAAAUAUAUUUCGAAAAAAAAAUUGAAAUUCAAAAAUAUAUUUCGAACAAAAGAGUGUCAAUAUUAAAAUAUAGAAUGAAUAAAGCAUGUAUUCUUCAACUUCUUUCAACAAUAUUGGAUAUAGGGCAAAUAAUUAUUGUAUUUUGAAAGAAGUUUCACAUUAUCUAAAACAAUUUUGUUUCAGAAAUUUAUUUACAAUAUUGUGAAAGUGCCGAACAAGAUGAAAGUUUCAUGUAGCUUUUCCACAGUUGGCUAGUCAGAAUGAAUUUGUGAACCAGUUUUUAAAUAUAAAAAAAAAACAUUUGUGAAAAUUUAAGAUUUCAAUAAAAAAAAAUUAAUGAAGAUUAUUUAGUGGGAUUAAUAUAACUUAAUGGAAGUUUUUUUAAUUUUCGAUAAAUUUUAAAGUUUAUUUUAAAACUUUAUCAAAAUAAUAGAUUUUUUUUUAACUUUCGUUAAUAAAAUCUUGAAAAAAUAAUUAAUUUUUUUUAACUUUAUUUAAAUUUCAAAAGUUUAUUUUAAAAAUUCAGUAAAAUAAUAGAAUUUUUUUAAAUUUUUGUUAAAUUUUAAAGAUUUAUUUUAAAACCUUAAUAAAAUAACAAAGGUUUUUUUUAACAUUUAUUAACUUCCAAAGGUUUAUUUUAAAACUUUAAUAAAGUAUUUCAACAACUAAUCUUGUUUUCAACAGUAUUUGCAUAUAUUUUUUAUAUGAUUGAUGGUAGUUGAUUUAUAUAAUUCUUAGUUUUUUUUUUACGAGUUCAUACCUCAAAAAAACUUAUUUUGUUUUAAUUUUUGAUGUGCAAUUCUAGUUUAAGUUAUAACUAUUAAUAUUUAAUUCUCAUAAUUUGAAAUAUUUUAAAUUAAGACCUUUAUUCAAAAUGCAUCUAAUAAUUAGUUCAUUGUGAAAGUGAAAAGUAAUAAAAUUAAUUUCUCUUCACAAUAUGUUCUUGCAACCUUUAACCAAAAAUACACAUGACUUUGAAACUUGCAUCUAAUAGAUAAUACAAUUAUUUAGGAUAUAUAAAGUCGUGAUAAACACUAAUUGUUGUCGAACUAAGUAACAAUGUGACCCAAAUUAUGGUAGUAAGGUGAUGAAAGAAGCAAUAUUGGAGUAAAAAGAAUAUAAUAUCUUAUUUAACGUUUCUUUUACUUAUCUAUAAUAGACAUAGUGACUAAAUUGUGAUUCAUUAGGAUGCCAUUAAUUUUAUUAAGAUUGUCUACUCUAUUGAUUUUGACAUAUUGAUAUUAUAGAGUAUGACAUAUUGAUAUUUUUAUUGAUAUUAUAGAGUAUGACAUAUUGAUAUUUUUGGGUGUUUUCAAAUCCAAUCAAUAACUUAAUUGUAUAUUCUGAAAUUAUUUUUUUACUAACAUGACAGUUUUUUUUUUUUGUCAAUGUUAUUUUUCAAUUUACAUCAAUCUAACAAACAUCAUUUAUGAAUUGACAUUGAUGAAAGUUUUAUUGGGCAACAUUAAUAAUAUUUUUAAUGAAUAUUUUAAUUGUUAAUUGGGGUUAUUUAAAGUUGCUGUUAUUUAAUUUGAUUUUAAGGAAGAUGUAAAUUGGAGUUAUUUCUCACUUAAUAUUAGUGGUAUUUUUUUAAUUAAUAUUAGUCAAAGAUUUUAAAUAAAUUUUUUUAGUCGACAUUGAUAGAUUUUUUUUUUCGAUUAAUAAUGUUAAUAUUAUUUUUUUCACUAAUAUAGAUUAGGUUAUUUUUUAAUAGUUAAUCAAGGUUUUUUCAAAUAUAUUCAUAAGUUAUUUGAUAAAAUUAAAUCAAGACUGUCCAAUGUACUAUUUUCAUUCUAAAGUUUAGAACCUCAUCAUAUGAAUCAUAAUCUAACAUUUUUAAAUAACUUCAACUACAUCAUAUACUCCCAUACCUUCCUUCUAGCUGCAACAUUUUCAUUAUUCUUCAGCCGCAACGUUUAAGAGAACAGUUUCAUCAUUUGACAUGUUAAAUUUACUCCAUAUGAUAAAUUCACACUUACUUAAGGACUUGUGUAUCUUGUAAUUAGAAGUUUUUCCUCAAACAACAUCUUAUAAAUUCUAUCAAGAAAAUAACUAUUAUUUCACUACCAAUGGUUUCAUAAAGUAGAUUGUUAUUGCAAUUUGAAACAAAAUGUGAACCCUCGGAACCAAAAGUUUCUUCUACAGAGUAAAGACAUUUUUUUUUUAGUUUUGUACUCCAUUUUUGCACAUUGCUAGUUUUUUUUCCUGAGUUUUAUGGUUUUCAGAUUGUACAAUAAGCGAAUGAAAAUAUAGUCACCACCAAUAAAAAUGCUACAAAACUUACCUCAACCACCAUCGUUGAUGUGAGUUGAUUUUAGGAUUGAACAUUUUUAGAGGUUUUUUACUUGGUUUAUGAGUUUUGAUUUAGCAAGCUAUGGUCAGACUCAAUGAAGAUUGUUACUGGACACGAACUUAACUAAGUGGUUACGUAAGUGUGAAAGAUCUCUUCAAAAGAGAAAAAAGAAAAACACAAUUAAGAUGAUGAUGAACACGAAAUCAAAAUAAGGCAAAGUUAAAAAUGGUCGAAUGUAAAAGGAAGAUAAAAUGAGACAACAAAGGAAGCAAAAUAAUGGCGAAAGAAGAAAGAAAAGAAGGAAAGAUAUAAGAAGCUUAUGGAGUGAAAAAAAUGGUGAUUGAAUAACGCCAUUUAGGGAGAGAGCUCUAAGAUGAGUAAGGGUGAGUCGCCACUUGAAGCACACUCUGCUCAAGAUAAGACUCAUAAGAAAUUUGGGAACACUCGAGAAUUCACUAUGAUAGAGUUUCUUUACUUCAAAAUUCAAUGUGAUUUACAAGAAGGGAGACACCCUAUUUAUAGAUGAGUGCCUUGGGGAGGAAGAGAGGAAGGGUAAAGGCGUAAAUGACUACAAGCUUCUAAAAACUAGGUUUAAUGUGAGUACAUGGGGGAGUCUUAUAGAAUCUAGGUCAAAUGUGAGCACAUGGGUUAUCUUCUAGAAACUAGGGUUAAUAGAACCCUAAGCUAGCUUAUUCUUCUUCUAAUUAUGCCAAUGUGUGCCCAAUUAAUUACAAAUUAAACUUGUCUUAAAAAAAUUAUACGGAAAAAUAAUUGAUACUCUGGCCCAUGCCCGAUUGUUUUUCUCCUGAGGAUCUUUUGAUGGAUGGUGGGGCCAUGUGUCUCCGCCUGAGAUGUUUGACCUAGCCUUGAAUAGUCCUUUGGGUUCAUUGUCAACUUCUUGUAAAGUUGGGUCAUAUCAACCGUUCACCACCAGCCACCACAAACUACCAUCACCAAUUGAAAAUGAAAAAGAAUACAUCACACUUUUCACAAUACUUAGAAGAGUAUUGUUGUAAUAAAAAAAAGUAUGAAGGUGUAGGGAGAAUUUGUCAUGUUUUGCCCUUAAAAGGUGCCUCAAAGGAUUAAGGGAGAAAAUGUAUUUAAAUUGCUCUUGACCUUGAAUCCUAAGUGAUGUGAGACUAUUAAGCAUACUAGAAUAAGCUUCCAGUAGAACUCUAAGGAAUGAGGGUUCGUUUUUUGAACCAAUUUUCCAUUCUCUUAGUCAAGGGAUAAGGGAAUGAAGGUUCGUAUUUGAAACCACUUUUCCAUUUUUGUAAACGGUGUCAAUGUUUCGACCUCAAGUCCAUUGAGAUAACAUCGUUAUGGUCAAUCACCACAUUCAAGGUAUUAUCCGUUUUGAAGAUCAAAGUUUCAUCAUAGUUUUAUCCAUAAAAUGUGCCUUAAUGGGUUAAGGCAAUCUCAACGAACUUGGGGAGAAACAUUAUCUACCAUCUGUGGGGAAUUGAAAAAUGUUUCCAAAUACAAAUUAUCGUCCCUUUAAAUCUCGACUAGUGGGCUUGUUAUAGUACGUUCACUACAAAAAAACGUGUAUUAUGCGGCUGUUAUUUUCGCAAAAACUGACAUUUCUAACCGCCGCAUUAUACGUCUGUGGCGGUAUCGCGUACCGCCAGAAUUCUUGCCGCCACAAAGUUUAAUGUGGUGGUCAAAUGAGAACCGUUGUAGCAGACGUCAUAGUAUGCAUUGUAUAAAGUGGCGGUUUUAAGCGUGCAAUUGGCGUCAGUUAUAAAUGUCGUAAUUUUAGAACUGGGUAAACCAAUUCUAACGUAAAUAGUGGCAGUUUUAACCCCCACUUAAUACAGUAUAAUAUGACAUUUAUAAUACACUUUAUAACUGUCGUAAUUCGAAUAUUAAAUAUUUAUUUUUAUUUUUAAUAUUUAUAAUAAUUUAUUUAAUUCUAUUUUAUAAUUUGAUUUCAUAAUAUUAUUUAAUUUCAUAUUAUAAUUAAACUUUAAUUUUAUUUUUAACAUUUAUAAUAAUUUAUUUAAUUCUAUUUUAUAAUAUUAAUUAAUUUGUAUUAUGUUUCAUAAUAUAUAUAAUUAAGUUAUAACAUAAACUAAUUUCAUAAUAUAAUUAAAAUUGAGAAAUAUAAUAAUCAAAAGAUGAGUUCAUUCAUUCAUUGAAAGAAGAAAGUUGAUAAUGUGAAACUAACCCAAACAACAAGUAAAUUAAAUUGUCAAAAUGUAAAUUGUUUCACUUUCUAAACAUAUUACAAGUAAAAUCUCAAUCCUAAUUUGUCUUACUCCCUCCACUUGAUCUUAUAUUCUUGUUUGGCGAUGGAGAACCACUAGCAACAUCCGGUGCCUGGAAUAAGUUAAAAUAUGUUUAAAGUUAAUUGACAAUAUCCAAAAUAGUCCAAAACAAUCAUUGUUAUAAUGCGUAUGAACUGAUAUCAAAUUGACAAAUUGAAUCAUUGGGAUAAUAAAAUAAAACUAGGUUAAUAAAACUAAAAUAAGAGAAAAAAUAUCUUAAUAUUUUAUAGAAAAAAAUAGAUCAAUAUAUAGUUUUUGAAUUAACAAACAAUGUUAGUAUAUCUUUGAAUAAUUUUAAAUUCUUAACUUUUUUUUUAUUUGGAUGCAAGCUUGACAAACUCAUUUAUAUGUUAAAUUGAGGAUACAUACGUUAUGUAAAUUUAAAUAUAAUAAAAUACAAACCAACACAAGUAAUUAAUAAUGUUUCUUUUGAUAUAAGAAUUAUAAGUUUUGAGAUUUCAACCCCAAUCAUAAAGUAUUACAUGAGCAACUAAAUUCAAAGAAUAGUAAUACCACUUACCCAUAUGAUAGUUGUCAUCCUAGUAAAUUCAUCCAGAGAACCAACUCUUUGUACCAGGAUUUAAGCCAUGCGAUCCUAAUCUACAAAAUUCAAAAGUAUCACUGCUCGAGUUAGAAAAUGAUAAAUGAAUAAAAAACUUUGCUUUUUUGUGUCAAAGUAGUAAUUAAAAAUGAGGCACAACUCAAUUAAUCAACAUAACUGCUAGCUAAUAGGUUUAUCAACCCAAAAAGAUAGAUUAUAAGAAAGAUAUAGUGGAUGGUGGCUGCAAUAAAUUUUACGCAUACAAAAAUUUGUUUCAGUUUUCUUCUUUAUAUAUAUACAUUACUUCAAUUUGAUAAGAACCAUUAAGCAUGCUCUUCUUUCAAAAUGCGAUGGACUGAAGUUUAGAUCAUUUUUCUCAAUAUUAAUUACAUCAACUUUCUUCUUUUAUAAUUCUAAAUUUGUAUCCUAGUCCCAGCUUGAACCUAUAUUAACUAUAUAAUAAUAGUAAACAUCAAAAGGCAUAUACGAAUACCUAACCACAAGUUCACUUAUUUCUAAUGAAGCACAUGGGAAAAAAUUAACAUCAUGUUCUUAGACCCCAAUGUAUUGAUGGCUUGGACAUGCAUAAUGAUAAAUACUUCNNNNNNNNNNNNNNNNNNNNNNNNNNNNNNNNNNNNNNNNNNNNNNNNNNNNNNNNNNNNNNNNNNNNNNNNNNNNNNNNNNNNNNNNNNNNNNNNNNNNNNNNNNNNNNNNNNNNNNNNNNNNNNNNNNNNNNNNNNNNNNNNNNNNNNNNNNNNNNNNNNNNNNNNNNNNNNNNNNNNNNNNNNNNNNNNNNNNNNNNNNNNNNNNNNNNNNNNNNNNNNNNNNNNNNNNNNNNNNNNNNNNNNNNNNNNNNNNNNNNNNNNNNNNNNNNNNNNNNNNNNNNNNNNNNNNNNNNNNNNNNNNNNNNNNNNNNNNNNNNNNNNNNNNNNNNNNNNNNNNNNNNNNNNNNNNNNNNNNNNNNNNNNNNNNNNNNNNNNNNNNNNNNNNNNNNNNNNNNNNNNNNNNNNNNNNNNNNNNNNNNNNNNNNNNNNNNNNNNNNNNNNNNNNNNNNNNNNNNNNNNNNNNNNNNNNNNNNNNNAGAAGGUCUAUGAUAAUAUGAUGUCAAUAACACAAGUUAUGUAAAUUUUGACUUGCAGAAACAAGUUACAGCUUGCAAACCUGGUAUGAACACAACGAACUAGCCCAACUGAAAUUAUCAAUGGAACUAGAUCAUUCAAGACGUCAUAUAUCACAAAGUAUACCAUAAAUGAUUUUGUGGUUUUUUCAUAAUGUUUAAAAGGGGAUUGGAUGGUAAAACUGAAAUGGAGAAAGAAAAGCUCAAAACUUUUCAUUCCAAUCAAAAGAUUUUACCUCUAAACGGUAGGGUUUCACUCGCCAAUGGAUGUAGAAGCUAUUCUCUGCCACUUCACUGCUACGAUUUUCGCAGUUAGGGUUGGAUGCGAAAACCCUGUGCUCUCAAAUGGGGAAGCUUCGCUCUCAGAUUUCGAUUUUGGGAUUUCGAUUUCGAUUUCGCAACGAGGUUUAUACAUUGGAUUUGGAACCUAAUUAGCUAUAGGAUUUCGCUUUUGGAUUUGGGAACAAGGUUCAGAGCUUUGAUUUGGGAACGCAGUUUAGAGGUUUUGGCUUGGGAAUAAGGUUCAAAUAUGAGCUUUGUGCAGUAUUUGGAAGGGUGCACUGCACCGUCUGGAACCAGCAUCACACAACGGUGGUGGAGUUCUGCGGAAUAAUAGGGUUUCAAAGGCUUUUAGAAAAUUUUGGAGGAUGGAAGGAGAAUAGGGUUUUGAAAAAUUAAAAUUUUGAGUAAGUGUGGGAAAUGAAAUAUUAUGGGAGUUUUGAAAAAUUAAAAUUUUGUGUAAGUGUGGAAAGAGAAAUGUAACGGAGGGAAAUGGGGAGAGUAUUUAUUUUAAAAGGAUAAUUACGACGGUCCUACAUGCCACAAUUCAAAGGAAGAUUAUGGCAGUUACGAAACUGUCAUAUUAUACAACUAAUUGUGACGGUUUUUAAUGACCGCCGUAUUAUAACCGCCAUCACAUACAAGUUCUUUUGUAGUGGUUUAAUAAUCUCAUAUCACUUAUGAGUCAAGAUAAAAAAAUAAUUUAAAUACAUUUUCAUCCCUUAAUCCUUCGAGAUGCAUUUUAAGAAAAAUUGUGAUGGAAUUCUGAGUUCCAAAACAUUCAGUGUACCUGAUAUCGUAAUUAAUUGUAACGAUGUUAUCUUAAUGGACUUGAGGUAGAUAUUAAAAAAAUGUGGUCUUAAACACAAUAGGGAUGUUAAUUAUGAAAAUAUUCUAAAUUGUUAAAAUAUAUAACUUAUUUAAAUUAUUAUGAGUAAAUAUCUUAUUUUGAAAUAUAUUUUUUAAGAUUAUAAAUCACAUUUCAGUUUAAAAAUGUAUACUGAAGAGCAAUUCAAUUUUGAAAACUAAAUUAAUAAAAUAAUUUAGUACAGAUUUCUUUUAGAUAUUUUUUUCCAAUUUAAUUCACUUUAAUAUUAAUUUGGUUCAGAAGGAAGACAUUAUACAACGUACAAAAUAAUGAAAUUGAAAACUUUGAAGAUGAGACACAUGCUUUAUUAUUUAUUUUGUCCUAUUAUUGAUAAAGAAUUUAAUGAAAGAAUUUAAUAUUUAAAAAUAUAGCCACAUUCUAUCCCAAUAACACUAAUAUUGUUACUAAAAAAUAUUAACCAUUUUACUUUAAAAUAUAAUUAAUUAGUAACUAAUUCUUAAUGAUAGUUUAUAAGAUUAAGAUCGUAAUUUCAUUAUAUUGUAACCUAUUUUUAAAUUGAGAGAUUUUUGCUAAGGUUUUAAAAUCGAAAUAUUGUUAAGGUAAAAAUUCAACAUCCUAGAACUUUGAUUUAGUAUUUAAAAUUGCUAAAUGUAAAACAUUGUCAUAUUAUACACGAUAGUUUUGUGAAAAUAAAAGAUACUGUAAAAUAUAAGCACACAUAUGAUAUAACAUUGUGUUGUUUUUUCUUAAGUUCGAUAAGACGCACAUAAAAUUAAAUGAAACACGCAUAAAAUAUAAAAUGAUAUGCAAAAAGUUUAAGAUAACCUUAUGCCAAAAAAUUCAUUAUAAGCAUAAACUAUAAAGUCAACAUUAAAAGAUCUAUUAGACUUUGAGUUAAAGCUACUUUUUUUUUGCAAUAUUCUACCACUGAACAUUGACAUCUCUCCAAAUUAUAUAUAUAUAUAUAUAUAUAUAUAUAUAUAUAUAUAUAUAUAUGCCUUGUACGUACAAAUAGGAAAAAUCAAACCAAAACACAUUGUUUAAGUAAAGAUAAUUGAAUCCAGUUAAAUGUUAUACAAAGUGAAUUUAAUGCAUUCCAGUCAAGCAAGUUCAUCAUAUCAAAGGUAAGACAUAAAAAAACUCGAAGCUAAUACCAUGGAUAGAAACAAAUUCACAAUAAUAACUUUCUUAAGAGCCUAUAUAAAGCAAUCCAAUGAGAAGAAAAGGGUGAGAGACCACAUUGUAUAGGGUUGAAAUGUUGCUUAACUUCUAUUAUAUCUAAAACUUCAUAGAAGAACAUUGUUUGUGUUUCAAUCAACUAAUAAAGAGAGAAUGAGUAAUUAAAGUCUACAAAAGUAUGCUUGAAAUGAUUAUCCUCCCCUGCAAGUUUCAACAUAAUAAGUUGAUCACUAUCUGCGUACCUUUUUCAUCUUAGUUAAUAAUAAUUUAUAUCAAGAAUAUUCAAAGAACUAGUCACGAGUGAUUAUGAACUCAAAUGAUACUCAAUUAAGUUAAGAAUAAUUUAUGUAAAGAAUAUUCAUCUUAUAUUUUACAUCAAUAAUAUUGAAAUUCAACGUAACAAAUCAGUAUAAAAUUUAAAGUGUGUAUUUUUUCCACUCUAUGUCUUUCUUUGCAUUUAAAUGUACUAAAAAGAAGAAAAGUCAUUUAAGUAUUACAAUUAACCAAAGCCUCUCUAAAUAAGCAAGUUCGUUAAAUUAAAUAGCUUUGUUGAUACACUGCAUCGCUCACAACUGCCAUUAACUAAUUAAUUAAUUUAUAAAAUUAUCGUCUCAAUUCAACAUUUUCUAUGAGAUCAUAUUUGUGGAAAGUGGUCAAAAGUUUUCUAAAAGAGAAUUCAACCCUUCUAAAACACAAAUCAACCCUUAUUGUGUUGUUUUUAUAAAUAUUUAAUUAAUUUUUAUUUAGUGAUCAAAUUAAAUUAAAUAAGUAAAUAAAUAAACAAAUUAUUAAGUCGUUUUUUUAAUGAGCAAAGGGAUUAAAAUGUAAUUUACUCAAAAAAUAUUUUUCUUGAUUAAAAAUGAUAUUCUUUUAGGGAAUAAAAAAAACUUUCACCAACUCCUGAAUAUAUAAAUAAACAAAUGGGAGUCUUGGAGUGAUGAGAGGAAAGAGUUGAAGAGAAAGAGAAGAGAGAGAUGGGUUGCAGGCAAUUGUGGGCUUCAAGAGCUGUCUCUUACCUGAGGAUCUCUGUCUCUCACAGACCCUUUUCUAAUGGUCAUCUCUCCUUCUCCUUCUUCUUUCCUCUCUCAUCUCUUUUUCAUUUCUUCUCUUUCUUUCAUUCAUCACUUACACAUCUCAUCCAUCUCUUUACUUCAAUCUCGCAUUUUAAAUCUCCCCUCUCUUCUUUUCUGGAUUACAAAUUCACAUUUCUUAACUUCUUUUUUUGUGUGUAUAAUAAUAGGGAUCUUAAAUAUGUUGGCCCUGUUCACGUUGCUUUUUUCCACUGUUUCCUUUACAUUGGCUAUAUAUUUUAAUGGCAGGGAGCUUUCUAAGCGGUGGUGGGAAGGGAAGUGCACCACCCACCCACCCGCCAACAAAAUACAAUAUCCAAUUUGUUAUUAUUAGUUUUUGACCUUUUUGCUACUGCUUCACAUUCUUCAUGCCACUAUUAUCUGUCACCUACUAAUUAUGUUGCACUCUAAACCUGGUGGGCCUUGCUGGUCCAAAUGGUUGCAAUAAUCAAACUGGAGAAUGAGAAUGGUUGAGCUGGUAAUCAUAGUGUACGUUGUAGAAGGGGCAAAAAUAAAUGUAUAAAGGAAACUAGGAUGAGAUCCAUUCAAAUUGAAUAUAUAUAAUGUUUGUAUACUUUUAGUUAUCUCUCUAACUUAACUACCCUUGUUGGCUUCUUCCAUGUUAUACUUACAGUUGUUAAAGAUUUGAAGUAUGCCGAUUCCCACGAAUGGGUGAAAGUUGAUGGGAAUUCUGCAACCGUUGGCAUCACUGAUCAUGCCCAAGAUCAUUUGGGUGAUGUUGUGUAUGUUGAAUUGCCUGAAGUGGGAGCCACCGUUACACAAGGUGAUAGUUUUGGUGCAGUUGAAAGUGUGAAGGCAACUAGUGAUGUUAACUCUCCUGUUUCUGGAAAAGUGAUUGAAGUGAAUCAAGAGCUUAAUACCUCUCCUGCUUUGCUGAGUUUUGUUGCCAACUAUGUGCAUUAACUAUUUUUUUUUCUCCCUGCUGUACUUUUUAUGUUUCACAUGCUACAUCUUGGAUCACUAUGCAUGUGUAGUGCGAAUUCUUUUUUUCUCAACACCAAGUGUUUUCAUGUUGUUCUACGUUUCUUCAUACAGGUAAACUCAAGCCCUUAUAAUGAUGGAUGGAUAAUUAAAGUUGAACUGAGUGACAGUGGUGAACUAAACAACUUGAUGGAUUCAGAAAAGUACUCCAAAUUCUGUGAAGAAGAAGAUUCACAUUAAGAUAUUUCAGCACUCUGCAUGGUGUACAUCAUGUUUUGGUUGGGAAAGCUAAAAAUGGAUUGUUCCCUUUUCUACACGUGUCACGUCUUCACUGCUCUAUUUUUACCAGCUUCUGAUUAAAUGGGAUGAUUUUUCACUCUAUGCAAUGGAAAUUUGAAACUGAUAGAUGGUUAGUUUCUUUAUAAGUUAUGCUAAUUUUGUUGGACAGUAGUUAUCAAGAAUUGAAGAUGGGAUUGUGAUUCCAAGGUCCACCACAUUCUUUACGCAUGAUAGACACCAUUUUUCAUAUAUUGCAUGAAGAAAACUACUCUUAUUGCUAGUUUAGAAUAAAAAUCCAUUUCACCUUUUCUUCCAUGAUUAGGUAGGUGUCUUGUUCCUUAAUAUUCCAGAAAGAAUUUAAUGAAAAAAACUAUGCCUAUUUUAGAAGAUCAUAAAGAAGUAAAUCCAAAAGAAAAAAGAUUUACUUAUCACGUUAGACUGAUGUGGUACUAAAAGUAGAUACAGUAUCGUUGUGGAGACAUACUAAGAAUUAGGGUCAAAAGCUUCAUCGUGGUUAUAAACUCACAAUACUCAUCUUAGUUCAUAAAGGAGCAGAAGUAACAGGCCUUGGUUAAAAUACUUCAAUAUUAAAUUUAAGAUGUUUAUUACUAACAAUAAAGUAUCUUACUAGCAAGAUAUCAAACAGUGUGUAUUAGUUGUCCCUUUUAGGGGGCUUUCGAAAGGCAUUAGACAGCAUAGAAAUGUAUUGUGGUGUAAUUUUUAUUGAUAAACAUACCUUAACCAACCUAUCAUAUCAUGGAUCUAGUUUACCAUAUUUUAAAUUAAAAUUCGGUUUUGUGGUACUCAAUUCAAUUAGUAGCUGUAGUACUCACUAUCCUACUAUCUAAUCGAUAGUAAGCUUGAAGGAUAAUCAUUAGGCUUAUAGUUAAUUUAAAAUCUUAAAGAAACAGCAGCCAUAUACUAUCGCUUACGGCUAUUGCAGCACUGAACGCUAACACUACUUAUUAAAGUUGUGGUUGUCCUUGUGCGCAACACUGGCUGCUCAUACUAGCAAUUAAAAAGGAAGCAUGUUAUGUUAACUAUAGCUCCUUAUACUCAAACAUUCAUAUAAUCUACGCAACAUAAAAUAUGCUCAUUGUUCAAACCUUUUUUUUUCAACACCAACGCUGAUGAAGAUGCGACGAUAGAAAAACAAAAAACUAUUUUGUCGCCUUAAACUCUGCAAUUUUAAAAAAAUUACAAACAUAUAAACAAAGACUUUAGUCUUUUAAUAUAAAAUAAUUGUGUAGAUUAAAAUUGAUUUAACAUGUACCUUACCUGCCUUGUAAUCCAUUCCUGUCAAUAAUUACAUUAGCACACAAACUUAAGCACGGGAAAUACAAGUUUACAACCCAUCUAAACCAAUUCUGCUGCCAAAUUUUGCUCAAUCAGUUACAACCACGAGGGCCUUGGGAACUGGAUUGAGUAAGGCCGCCUCAUGAUAUAUAUUUGGGGCUGACCUUAAAUCUACAUCAGUUUGAUUAAUUUGCCCAGAGAAAGGGAGAAAGGAAAUUUUAUGAAUACACCUUAAAAAAUCAUUAAGAGAAAGGCAUUCAGUCAGGCCUGCAAAAGACAUUUCAUAUAAGCACUCUUGCAGACUUGUAUUGUGUGCAACAUAUAUCUCUACAGGUACAAUGUCUUCUACCCGUCAUGAAGAUGGCUCCAUAAGAAAAACAGAAGCCAAGGUUAACUUCUAAGUGCAUACCUUCAACCCAGAACUAGAUUCCUCUAAAUAAAUAAAAUCAAAUAAACAGAAAAUAGUAACAGGGAAAGAAAGCCUAAGCUGGAACUCUUGGUUUUCUAUCUAAAUAGUAUACAAGAAAAUAUUUACUCCUCGAGACCAACUAAUUUGUUCUCUCGAAAUAACACUGGACAGGAGAAAACAAGAGAAAAACUGACUAAUAUGGCAAAUUGAUAAUCUCUAUAUACUCAGCAAAGGAAUUUAGGAGAUUCGAACCAAAUACCAUGCAGCCACUAAAAUGUAUCUUACUAUCUCAAUCUCAAUUCUCUACUGUUGUUGGAAAUAGCUCACAGAUAUCCAAUGUGAUUAAAGAAGAUUCCCUGUGGCACAAAUGUUUCAGACUUCUUGUAUCAGUUACUGGUUAAAAUAAUCAUAUAAUUCCAAAUAAGCAGCAUUAAACAUAUAUAUGUAUGAAUAUACAUCAGACAUGCUAUUAUGUAAAGAUUAGAAUGUAUGCAUGACAUUACUAAAGAAUAAGACCUCUAACUGCUGAGGUAUAAAGGCUAUCAUAAUGUCAACCCAACAGAUAGAAUCUCUAUCCCUGAUUAGGAACAUGUGUAAAAGUUAUAAAUUCAACAGCAAUUGGCUAGUAAGAAUAAUUUGUGAGGCAUCAAAUUAAACCAACAUUUUGUUAAAACAUGAGAUUUUUAAAUGUGGUAAAAAAAUAUUAAACAGCUUUGUGAAAAUUUAAGGUUGAAAGAUUUAUAAACUCAAACUAAAAUAUGCUUUGAAUGAAUUCUAAACCAUGUUUUCACGCAGUGACGGUCCCAAAAACGCUAUAGCAAGAUACGUGAUAUCGGGAUAACUACAAUAUCGAUUUUUUUUUAUAGUCUUCUUAUAUAAUAUGAUACAAUCGCGUAUCACGGAAAAUGGUGGAAAGCCAAAUAUGCACAAUGUCACAUGGCUGAUAGCGUCACAAAACAUGCAGAACUUAUGUAGCUGAUGAAAAAUGAUAUAUAUAAAGUAUACAUGUGUAAAAAAAUUAAGUUAUAUGAAAAUAAAAUAAGUGUAUUAAAAUUUGCAUAAUAUUAAGUCAAGUUCAAUUGGCCAGAGUCUUGCUGGAGAUGACAAGAGUAUGCUCAGACCAUGACACCCAUUGCGGCCACAACAGUGGACAGAGUUGCUGUCACGGAUUCAAGGAAUUCCGCAAUGCAACAGCACCAUAGAACCGCUAAAACGGUCAUUUAAGGACACUGAUAUGAUAUAUAAAUUCUGAAAAAAUUAACAAAACUAAUAACAAAGAAUUAACGAUAAACAGAACAUACAAGUAAAUACCAACAAAACUCAUACAAUUGUCCUAGAUAGGAAUCAUUGUGGUAUUUGAGUUUUCCAACACUGACAAGCAUUCCAGGGAAAAAGAAAUUAUUUCCUCCUCAUAAAUGUUGAGUUGGAAGUGUCUGGGUGCUUUGGAAGGUGUGUGGAAGUGGACUUGUGUUAAAAGAAGUCCAAACCCAACAGAUUAUAACAAGUUAGAAAGGUCUAAAAACUCCAUUAGUCCAACCCAACAACUUUAUGCAAAAAUCUAGCUUGGUAACAAGAAUACAUACAUAGAAGUCAUACGUUGUACACAGACACCCAAGUGUUUGCACAAGGAGAGAGAGAGGGCUGCUUACUAUGUUAAGAAUUGUGAUACUAUGAAACUUUGCACGUCUUCCUAUUGUGGCCAAGUCCCUUGCAUUUACUACACUGAAGCUGACGUUUAAUUAUGUCUAUCGAUUCAACUUGCUUUAUUUUUGGCCGACCUGGAGGGCGCUUAGUUGGUGGAGGGGUUACCAUAACUAAAGCAGUGGAUUCACCCUGGACAGGUGGUCUGUCAACAUUUGGCACAGGGUGAAUAGAUUCUGCAUAUGUUAAUUGAUAAUUGUCAACUGUGAAGUAUCUUGAACAAUAAUCAUAAGGAUUCCUACCAACACAUUCAAAGACAGCAAUGGCAUGACAGCACGGGACACCAGUAAGUUGCCACCCCUUGCAGCUGCAAUCCCAAUUAUCAAUAUCAACAGUAUCAACAGAUUCUCCACGGACCUCAAAUCUGCUUCCUUCUGAGAACAAUACUUGAAGUGAACGAGCAACUAAUGUUUCCUUUUGGAGCAAUUCCUCCUUGGAUGGUGUCAACUUUGUAAUCCAUUGAUUAGAUUCUACACGUCGUGUAUAAAUUGUUUCCAUCAUCUUACCUCGUAAUGCAUCAAUCAUUUGAGUAAUCGGCAACUCAUGUGCCUCUGACACCCAACUGUAGAACUGUUGUCCAAAAUUUGAUGAAAGGAGAUUAUACCUUGCUCCAUUAAAGAAUGCAUUUGCCCAGUGCUCUGGCUCACUUUGGAUUACCCAGUCAUAGGCUUCCGGAGAAAUACCUUUAAUAUUCUCAAUACUACGUUCAAAAGUAUCCAAUUUGGGGGCAUAAGCAGCAGCAUAAAAAUCAUUAAUCAUGAAACGUCUGGCCUCAUGAGAAAAUUGUCCCUUUAAGUCCUUGUUCAAUUUCUCAGCAAGGUGUCGUAAACAAUAGCUAUGGUAGCAUUUUUCAAAUAUAUCAGACAAUGAACUUUUUAGGCCAUUUUGGAAAUCUGCAACAAAUGUGAUCUGCUCAGAUGUCGAUAUUGCUAAUUUCAGUUCCUGCAGAAACCAGCACCAAUUGUCUUCAGUCUCAGUGUCUACAACUGCAAAGGCUACAGGAAAAAUGCCAUCAUUUCCAUCCACAGCAGUUGCAGCCAAUAAUUCCCCUUGGUACUUCGAGUUUAAAGGAGUUCUAUCAAGAAAAAUGAGAGGGCGACAGCCUAGCUGAAAACCAGAUAUUGAGGCAUGAAAUGCUACAAAGAGACGAUGGAAACUUGAGUCCUCUUUAGUUGUGAAUGUUGCAAAACUCCCUGGAUUGGUCUCUUUUAUCUUCUCACAGAAAAAUGGCAACUGUGUAUAUGCCUCUUUAUAGGAGCCUUGAAGCUGUUCUCUAGCAAUUUCUUUUGCACGCCACGCUUGAGAAUAGUUUAACUGAAUCCCAUACUCCCGCUUUAUGUCAUCAGCAAUAUCUUUUGGCUUGUAAUUGGGUGAAUCUUUCAAUUUCUCUUUUAUAAUACUUCCCACCCAACCCCUAGUUGCUCGAUACCCAGCUUUAACGGCAGAUCCUUCACAAGUAUGAUUGUAGUGCAUUUUCUUAAUGCAAAUCAACUGAGUGGUAGACAACCUCGAUGCAUAUAUUCUCCAAGGACAGCCUUGACAUUUACAUUUGACAGUGACACGAUGACUAUCAUUUUUCUUAUAUUUGUAAGCAAACCCAUGAGCAAUAGAGUAUUUAUGCAAUGCUUCACGAAAUUCACUAAAACUAUUGAAUCUUUGGCCCACACCAGUGAUGGUAUUUUCCCACUGCUGUGCAGCUUUACGAUGAUUGUCAUCAUUACCCCCGGUAUAAAUAGAACGUGCAGAGACAUCAUUAGCUACAUCAACCUCUAAUUGAUCAAUGCAUUGGACAGCAUCAACAAUGACAUCAAUAGGAGCAACGACAGGAACAACGGCUUCCGACACAGUUGUCCUGCUUGACCUGAAAUAACAAAUGUUCUAAAAGAUUUUCAAUUGCACAUGUGAAUGCAUAAGAUUCUAACAUAUCCUAUGACCAUCCUUUUUUGGUCACAGCCACAGCAUCCACUACUCUAUAACAUCCUAACUUCUGCAUUUAUGGGCCAAAACAAACUAUAUAAAUGAUAAAUGGCUAUCAGUAUCAAGGAAAGUCUAUAUAAGAAUGAGUGAUAAACAAACAGAACUUGUGAAAAAAUACCUACUACCAGGCAUGUUGGAAUUGUUAUUUCGAGCAGCUCCUUCCUCUGACAUAACAAACACAUCAACCGUGUUAACAUCCCCAAUGAAACUGACCAUGCGUUGCAAAUCCUUGUCUUUAGACACUGUAAUAAGUGUUUUCUUGUUCCCAGGAAGGAAGUACUUGAUAAUCAUCGUACUUACAUUGCAGUUGAACAUUUCUGCUAUCUCUGACUUAAAAUCACUUAAAUUUGUCUGUUGAUCAAUGUCUAUUGCAUACGCAUCCCCUCCACUGUAUGACAACGAUCCAUCCUUAUCUGUCACAAAAUCACCUCCUGAUUGACAUAUAGCAAUAACUUUCCUCGUAGUCAUGGCCUGCCAAGUAGCAAACAUAUAAUUAUUAUUUCUAUACCAGUGACAAAAUGCAAGUGUCAAUGUCAUAACUCAUAAAGUCAAAAUAUCUGGGUAGAUGAUAAUAAACAGAGAAAGUGGUUCUUGCAUUUAGCAUUCUGAACUCCAUACAGCAAGGGCCCAACAAGUAAAUUUCACUGCCCAGAAUCCAGGGUCACGUUUGGUAUCAAAUUUCAGAAGCGAAACACAUUAAACAAGCACAACAUAGUCUACAAUAGAAAGUUUAGAUAAAAAUUUAAUCUCUUUAACACAAAUAACAGGAACUGCCCAAAUGAAAAACAAUGAUUUAGAGAGAGAAAAAAGUUGAUUGGUAGAAAAUAGAAAAAACAGUGAACUAAUAUAUUAUUUUGAUAUGAAGAAAGCAGAACAAAGGUGGCAAGGAUGCAAUUGAAAUGAAAAAAAGGGAUGAAAGGAAGAAAACUCUGACGGAGAAGAAGAAGAAGAGAUAAGAACCUAAAAUGCAGAAUGGAGGGUGCAAUUGUUGAUGUUGGUGUUUGCAGAGAUGAUGAGAGGGAAGCAAUCGGAGAGAGAAGGGUGUGUUUUUGUGUGUUUACCCCCAAAUUGUCUAAAGUCUCACUCUACGACGACGUAUUGACAAUGUCACUUCACUUUCACCCUUCUGAUUUUAUUUCCACAAAACACCACUCUACUUCUUUUUAUUACAACCAUUCUACCCUAACAAAUCUUUUUUCCUUUUUUAUACUAACAUUUUCUUUUCCUCCCAACACCUGUCCCUUUUUCACACUUUAUUUUGUAUUAAAUUAAUUAUGUUUCUUAUAUUUCUUCUCUAAAACAAUAACUUCUUUAAAAAAAUUGUUUUAUAAUUCAAAACAUGCCACUUUUAAAAAUAAUCAUAAACUGAAUUUUUUUUAUUGAAAUCAUAAAUUAUGACCCAUACAAGUGGAUAUAAUUUAGAAGACAAAGUGUUGAAAUUGUAAUUUUAUUUUAAAUUUUUAAACUAUACAUUUAAUUUUAUUUGUAUUUUUAUUACAUUUUAAAUAGUUAAGUCUUUUACAUGUAAUAGGAAAUUUCUUAUGUUGAAUUCAUCAUUGUUGGAUUAGCGUCAAUGAAAUUAGUUGGCGAUUCAAUAAUCGAAAACUCAUUACAAACAAACAAAAGUUCAAUCUUUUUUGAAUAAUUUCUCAUAAGAUUAAAUGCUAUUAAAUUUUUACUGAUAGUUUAUAAAUAAAUGCGAUUCAAUUUUUAUAAAUUUCGAAAGAAUAAUCAAUAAAUUAGUUUAGUUUAUAUUAGUUAUUUAUAAGGAUUUAGAAAAUAAUUUAAAAAUAUAAAUUUUAUAACUAAAAUGGUAUUUUAAUAUUUUAUUAUUAGAAUGAAAAAUGUAUAUAAAUAAAAAAAAUAGUUAUUCAAGACUCAUUUUAAUAUAAUCAUUAUUUUUUAAAAAAAAUUAUAUUUUCUGUAUAAGAUUUUGACCACUAUAUCCUUCAUUAGAUUUACGGUCUGGGGUCAUCAGUAGACUCUAACUAUUGACGGUGAAUAGAACAAAAUUGUCCAAUUAGAAUUAAGUUCAAUUUUAUUCCUUUUUUAUUUGAUUCACUUUUGAGUUUUAAUAGUUGUCUUACUGUAUGUGUUUGCUUGUGGUGGUAAUAGCUUCGUGAUUUGUCUUUGUUAUUUUAGAGUCCCAGUGAUAGGUUUGGAUCAUUAAUCAAGAUAUUGUGGUGCAGGUUAAAUUGUCCCUAUUUUUUUAGGAGUUUGAGUUCUUUGUGAGCACACCUAUUUCAGUAGAAUCCUUAGUUAGAAGAUUUGAAUGUUAAAGUAACAUGGUCACAAACUUCAAAUAUUUUUGUAGGAUUUGUUGUUGAGUGAAUUAAAAUGGGUUGAUUGAGAUUGAUUGUGAAAGUAUAAAUAUAAUGGACUUUGAAAAUUUGGAAAUGUACAUAUUGAUGGUGACGUUGAAGAAGUUUUUGAAUGUGUUUGAAUUGUAGUAAGAAUUAUUUGAAGAGUAAACAUGGAUGAAUGUUGAUUGUUUGAAUUUGAAUGAAUUUGGUUUAGAAUCAUAAAUGUAUAGACAUAUAUGUUGACAUAGGAGUUUAAUGAGACAUAUAUCAUUUUGGUCCUAUAUGUUUUCAUAAAAUAAAAAUAUGAAUAUUGAUUUUUGGGUGAAAGCUUGAAAAGUAAUCAGUUUUAAGAAAUUUCUUCUUAUAUUUUCAUCUAAGUGAAAAAGAUUUUCGCUCAAGCUAGAAUAUGAUAGUAAAAUUAUUUUUCUCUCGGAUUCAUUUUUGCUCAAGCAAUGAGAUUCUUUGAUAUGACCCAACUUUACAAGAAGAUGACCAAUAAUACAAAGGACUAUUCGAGGUUAGGUCAAUCAUCUCAGGAUUAUUCGAGGCUAGGUCAAUAGCACAGAGCCCCACCAUCCAUAAGAAGAUCAUUAAAAUAAGAAAAAUGGGGCAUGGGCCAGAAUAUUAUUUGUUCUUCCUUCUGGUAUUUUUAAGACAAGAUUAAUUUUUAAUCAAAUGGGCUCACAUUGGCCCAAUUAGAAAAAGAAUAAGCUUGCUUAGGCUUCUAGAAACCCUAGAUUUUAUAAAGUCUUCCCAUGUGUCGCCCCAUGUGCAUCACUCUUGACCUACCUUCUAAAAGCCUCUCCAUGGUGCGACAACCCUUGGCUAGACCUAGAUUUUGAAGCAUCUUGCUAUUGCCGCCCCUCUCCUUCAUUUCUUGCUCCCCAAGGCACUCAUAUCUAUAAAUAGGGUGUCUCCCCUCUUGUAAAACACAUUGAAUUUUGAGUAAAGAAACUCUGUUAGAGUGAAUUCUUGAGUGUUCUCCUUUUUCUCUAAGUUUUAUCCUGAGUAGAGAUUGGUUUAAGUGGCGACUCAUCUCUCACUCAUCUUGGAGCUCACUCCCCCAAGUGGCGUGAUUCACUAUCAUUCUUUCCAUUCCAUUUUUUUUAUCAGCAAUGAAUUAAUAAAAUAAAAAGAGACACUUAAGGGGUGUCCCAACCCUUUUACAAACUAUUCUCUAACUUAAGAGUUCAACGAUCAGAAAAUUUACACAAUAAGACCAAUCCUAACAGCUUUGCUUAUUUAAACUAAACCCACAUACAAGUUAAGUUACAAGUCCUAGCUUACACUGGGCCUCAGAUUAGAGGCACAUGUAAAGGGUCUUAAUGCUUGUAACAGCAACCAAAUGCUAACUCAUAAAGCGACACCACAUCAUAUAAUAAUUCCCUUCCAUUUCAGCAUGUCAGCACUUACAAGGCUCAUUGGCUGAUAAACAUCCAACUAAAACCAGCAAAUCAACCUUCGUCCCUGCUUUUAGUUCUAUAUUUGGAUAUUUAAACCUGCAACAGAUUGGAUACCCCCGACCAGCUUGUAUCAGCUUAGAAGUUCAGUAACGAACCAUUCUUGUACUAAUAAUUCCCCUCAAGAGCCAAGUUUGUUGUUGGGCCUCAUACUGACAUGGCUAAGGUCCUAGGAGAAACCUGCAUAGGUCAUGUAUAGAGCAAACCGUGUAUAAAAGGUAGAGAAAUAAUCGCAACCCCCUAUAUGGUUGUGCCCAACAUCAUAAAUUAACCAUAUGACCCCUUCUUCAUCCGUUCUAACACAGCAUCUUCCUGCAUGCUCAGUAUAAUUACCUCCCACCUCCUAGACCUUUGCAGCCUUCGCAGCUCACAAUAUUAGCAACAUAGAACCAUUUCCAAUAUUAUAGAUCCUGCUACGGUCAGCCAAAAACCAGAAACUAAGCCACUGCCUCAACAACACCAGAAACCCCAGAUCAGGCUGCUAACGGAACCUUGGCAAUUGAGAUAAGGAGCUAUUACAACAUCAUUUAGCGUUCUACUUCCUUGCACAUUUGGUUAAAGAUGUACCUGCAAAAAACUACAAAUAAGGUUAGCUAACAAUUGUUGCUUCUGGCUGCUGGUAUGUAGAGUCUUUCUUCUCAGCGUUUUGGUUUCUUUAUGGGCAAAGCUGGGCUACAUGUCUUAUGUACCAAACACCCCCAAAAAAGACUUGUUGAAUUACACUUUUAGCAAAAGAUAGACCACCAAAAAGAGCAAAUGAUUAGUAACGCGCCCUGCCAGAUCUGCACACGAUUUAACCGGAGUUCUACUUAGACCAACCCCACUUCUGCAGCUACACCAAAACUGCCACCAUAGUUCUUAUGCCCCCGCCUCAUCACCAACUAUAUCUGCCAUCCUACAUUUGCCUCUGAUAUGCAUAACUUAAACAAUGAUGCAAAGCCAGUUACUCUUGUGCCAUUGUACAAGUACAACUUCCGCCUAAGUGGAUAUGCCAUCACCAUCUCAAUUUAUAUACUAGUACACUGUCAAAGAACUACGAGGAUGCACUUAUUGGGGUUCAGGAUCCAAUAUGAAAACGUAUAUAUGAAUCCAAUUGCCUUGUAUUUUAACCACAACCAAGAUAGCAACUGAGCAUUUUGAAGAAUUUCUUUUGGAUCUGGAACCCCUCCCUUGAAUACAACCUGAUUUCGCUGCUCCCAAAUACUCCUAAUAAUUACCACCCAUACUCCUCGUCACACCUGGUUUUGCUUACUGGAUAGAUGAAUUAGGUAGAAGUUCUCCAAGUGAUUCCUGAUUUCCAUACUCUGAACCCCCACAAUGCCGACCCAGUGGUAACAACCAGACCAUACUCGUUGUGCAACCGCGCAAUCUAUGAAGAGAUGUUGAGAUGUUUCUUGUGAGUCCACAAGAACUCCUCUCCUAAUAAGAUUAGCAUUGGUUGAGAGUCUAUCAAGUAGGACUCUCCAAGCAGUGAUAAGCGCUUUAGGCAUAGCUUUCGCUUGCCAUAGAACACCAUAGGCGCUAUCCAAAGAACCAAUGGUUAUUCGUUUUGUCAGGAUUUGGUAGGCAGACUUAACCGAGAAUGCCCCUUUUGGAUCCUCCCUCCAGACCAGGCGAUCCUGGAUUUCCUGACACAUAUUGCCUGUAUCCAGAGUUGAAAACAGUUCUUUCUCCAUUUUUGACUCCCAUUCAAACCUCUCCCUUCUCCAAUUAGGCUGAAACCGCCACCUUCCUUCCUCCCAUGUUCCUACCUCUCCCACCGUCUUUCCUUGAUCGAGUGACAAGGAGUAUAGUCUAGAGAACAUUGAUUUUAGACUACUACUUUGUAACCACACAUAUUCCCAUAGCUUAACUCUGCUCCCAUAACCAACUUUCCACCCUAUGUCUUUACGGAACCAUCCUUCUUCUUGGUCCCCUUCCCCACACACUUUAGCUAGAUCCCUCCACCACCACGACUGGUAUUUCAACCCUACAUGACUUCUACCCGUUUCUGAUCCAUAGAUGGAUAUAAGAAUUUCUUUCCAUUUCCCUCCCGCCUCACUCAACAACCGCCAUUUCCACUUGGCCAAUAGAGCAGAAUUAAAAUUCCUAGUCUCUUUGACCCCCAACCCACCUUCCUCACAUGGCUUGCAAACGUUCUCCAAACUUACCCAAACAAUCACUUUGUUUUCUUUUCCCCAUGCCCAUAGGAAUCUCCUUUGAAUACUAUUGAUUUUAUUGCACACUGCUGUUGGAGCUCUGAAGAUGGAUAAGUAGAACAAAGGAAUAGAAGUGAAGACCGAUUUAAGUAGGCAUAUCCGUCCUGCCAUAGAUAACAAUCUGCCUUUCCAAGCGGUUAGUCUAGCUUCUAUUUUCUUUACGACCGGUUCCCAGAACUGUUUCUUUCUCGGAUUUCCACCCACUUCUAUCCCCAGGUAUUGGAAUGGUAGCCGCAUAGUAUUGCAAUUAAGCGUCUUCGCAUAAGUGGUUAAGGCAUACUCGUUAAUUUUAACACCAGCCACCUUCGACUUAUGAAAAUUAACUUUCAGACCUGACACAAUCUCAUAGCAUCGUAGGAUAGCCUUUAUAGCAAAAAUAUUAUUGAACGAGUCUUCACACAAAAACAGAGUAUCAUCUGCAAACUAGAUAGUCUUCCAUUCUUUCUCCAUUUUUAGGCGUCAAGAGAACUAGAUUGUCUCCCAUAUACCUUAGCUUGAUCCUGCUCAUUCCUCCUUUGAUAAACUCUUCACACACAGAGCAAAAGUAAAACCGAAUGACAUCCACCCAACAACACUAUAGGACAGCCAUUCCGGAGCAUUUGAUAUGGUUUCUAUGAUAGGGCCUUUCCAAAGACCUUGUGGUGUUUUGCGGAUCACCUCAACAUAAGAAUGCUUCAAGUUAUUACUCCUUCGACCUAAGAACCUUGUUUUUUCCAGCCACACCUCUUUCUCUUUCUUCCUACCAGUAGCAUUGUUAGCCCGCAUUUGGUCUUUGCUAGAAGAAGUUAGCUUCUCGUCCUUUUGUAUUACCUCUGCUCUCCUAUACUUUGGGAGGUUUACAUACAACUUUAAGUUACCAAUAAAGAUUUGGUCCAGCUGCUUCUCCAACCUCCUCUCAUCUGGAACUUGGUAGAAUUUCACAAAAUCGAAUCUUUUACCCCAUCUAUUUAGGCGCCUGGAUAUAAAGACUUCUCUUACUCUAGCCCACUUUUGGAAAAUCCUAAACAUCUCAAAUUCCUCGUGACUGUCAGGGAAAUUAGAGAAGAAGAAAGUUGAAAGGUUCUUAGCCAGUGAAAACUUAUGGCCUUCUCCCUUUUCCGGUAAUCAUCCCUCUCCCACCUCCGUCGACCCUCCGUCCCUCUCCCACCUCCGUCGUCCCUCCGUCCCAUACACCUAAGAUCUCUUCACAAUUAUCUCAACGUUCUUUCCAUUCCAUAAGCAUCUUCAUCCCUUCUCUUUUCCUUUCAUUAAUUUGCCCACUUUCUUUCGUUAUUAUUCAUUUAUCUUCUUUUCAAUUUAAUCUACUCUUUCCCUUUGUCCAGCAGCAAUCUUCAUUGAGUUUCACCAUAUCUUGAUAAUAAAAAUAUAUAAUCCAAAUAAAACCCUCUAAAAAUGUGCAAUUUUAAAAUCAACUCACAUCAUUCUUGCUCAAGCAAAAAUGGAGUAAAAAUUUGGCUUGCUCUCGAGUCUAUUUUUACUCAAGUAAGGGGAUUCUCACUCAAGUGAAAAUCUAAACUUUUGUGAUUGAAUUGUGUACUUAUGUAUGAUGUGAGAGUUAUGAAAAUGUCAUUGAGACAUAUUACAAAGUGAACUUUAAACCUAACUCAACUCCAUAAAACCGAUUCAUGGGGUGAGGUUUGCACCCACUUAUAUACAAUGAAAUGUCCUAAUCUCUAGUCGAUGUGGGAUCUCCAACAAGACAUGAUAUUUGCAAGAAAAGAAAUAUUGUGUUGAGAGUGUUAGGAUGUGCAUUGAUUAGGGUUUCGUCUAGAAUGUUGUAUCAUGACUCUAUUGGUAUAUUAGAAUCAUAUAGAUGAAGAUUAUGAGGUGGUGAGAGUUGAAGAAGGUUUAUAUGAAUGUGUAUGUGGUGUGAAAGAUAUUUAGUUUGACUUGUUAUUUGAAUUAACCCUCUCAUAUAAGAUGAUUUAGUACUAAUAUAUUGUGCACGUCAUUGUGGAUUUCACAAUAUAAAUCAACGUACUAGUAUUCCAAGAGUAGAGUUAAGUGUCUCUGUAUAUUGAUAAGUGAAUUUAUGAAAACUGCUAGAGUUAUAUAGGAAGUUUUACAAUUUUCCUUUAAUAAAGAAAUAUUUUUAUCUUUUAACAAAUAAAAAAACUUUUUUAUUUAAUAAAAAUAUUUAAUAGCAUAAUCUCUCCUCUCAAAUACCACGGUCUAUUUUCUCUGUUUAAAAUGAUUGUUGUAAACAUUUUUUUAGUUUUUAAAGUAUUAUUUUAAAAUUAUGUAUAUAUAAAUUAAUUUAAAUUUAAAAAUAGAAUACUCAGAAAGCGGGAGUGUGUUUCCGUUGUUAAUAAAUUAAAAACACUUUUUGCUGUCGUCAACUAAAUAUCUUAAAACUAUCAAUGUUGAUAAGAAAAUAUUAAAAAAAAACUUUAUGCAUUAGUUGUUUUAAAUACUGCCUUUGUUUUCGGAUUUAAAAUCUGACUUGUAUAAUAUAAAUAUUCUCUUUUCAUCAUGAUUUUUUUAAUAAUGACAUCACUAAAAUUUAAAAUCGUCCUGCGAUUGUUAUCACUAUUUAUUUUAAUUCUAAAAAAAGUUAGGUUGUGAAUGUAUCAUUUUUAAAAAGAGGAAUAAUAUAUGAAUAACUUAUUUCACUUAAUUGAUGAUAUUAAAAAAUAGUAUUUUUAUUAUUUCUUAAAGAAUUAAAAUUUUAAAUAAAGAAAGAGGAUUGUAUAUUGGAAUAAGGUUGUCAAUGUAUAUUUUUUAUAGAAAAAAUGAUUUAGUAGACUCAAACGAGUUAUAAAAAAAAAAACAAAGAAACUGAUAUCAAUAACUGAUAUCAAUAGUUUUAUCAAUAAAUUUGGUAAAAAACUCAAACAUAUCUUAUUCAACACUCUAAUUACAUGAUAAAAACAAGAAGGUUGAAACCACUUCAACAAGUUCUAUCACAAUAUGAUCUGGAGUGAUACUGAGGUAUAGUGUAUUUAUCAUCUAAUGAUAUUCUAAGUGUUCUUAGAAAAUCUUAAUCUUACACUCAUGCAAGAAACUAUAAAGAUAUUUAAAGAAUUAUGAAUCUAAAAAUAAUAAUUUUGAAAAAUUAAAGUAUAAAUAAUUUUGUUAUUAAAUCAUUAGUCUUAUAAAAUUCUUAUAUUAAAAUAAAAAGUCCAAAAAGUUUUAAAAAUAAUGUAAUACAAUAAGAUUAAAUAACAAUGUCAUUAGAUUCAAGGGUUUUUUUUUUUUUUUUCUAUACGAGCAAUAUAGAGUUUUCCAUCUUGCAACCAACAAUGUCAUUCUCCAUUUUUUCCCAAAAGAAUACGACUCAGGACGAAUUAGAGUAAGACAUUUUUUUGUUAAUUUUAAAUGUUUUUUAUCAUCUAAUUUGCAAGAGGUGAGAAAAAUCCUUUUGAACUCUUAUUAAUUAUAAAAACUCCAAUAAUCACCUUUCAUAUAGCAUUACAAAUAAUAACAAGCGUGAAAAAGGUAAAUAAUUCCACAAAAUAUCAAUACUAGUAUUUUACAUUUGUUUGUUUUUAAUUUAAAUAUUCGCAAAACAAUUUUAUAUUCUUUAUAAAAUAUGAGAAAUAUAUUUCGAAUUCAUUCAUUUGUUAAUAGUAUUUUUUGACUUUUAUAAUGGGGCUUUUGGGCCAAACUCUAUUUGAAUGGCUAAUUCUAAUUUUAGAUUAAUAGUUUUUGGAAAACUAUAACUUUGAAGGAUAGUUGGUUAUUUAAUUAUUACUUCAUAGUAUAAAUAUUUUCUUCCAUGAUUAUAUUAUAAAACUUGUAAACAAAAUUAGAGCUCAAUUUUCUUUUUAAUGCAAAUGGAUAAAUAAAUAUUUUAGUUGUUUUGUGACAUAUUGUAUUUAGUAGAUAUUAGUUGUUCUUUUAAAAUUUGAUGUGAAGAUUGAUUAUUAACUUAAUUUCAUUUGGUUUUAUUUUCUUUUAUUUAAAAAUAAAAUGAAACAAUAAUGAAAUUAAUUAUAUUAAAUCUUGAAUUGUUUAUUUAGACGGUUUAGAAAAUUAAAUAAUUUUUUUCUAGUUGAUUAGUAUGUAUAUUUUAAUAAUAUUAUGUAUAUUUCAUGAAAUUUUGGUUGAUUGUAUUUUUAUUCAUCUUCAGUUCAUAUUUGGAAAGCUUCAAACUUUAUCUUAAUCUCAACAUCUUGAUAUACACUUCAAUGAUCAUAUUAGAGGUUUUAUAUAUGCUAUUGCGAAAAAAAAAUAUUUUGUAUUUUAGUUUUUUUUACCAAGUAUGAGUCAUUGAGCAUAAACUUAAUUAAAGAAAUUAUUCAUGCAUGGUCAUGAUAAAAUCCUUCUUUAAUUUCUUAUUUGGCCUUAUAUUGAAUUUUGUAAUUUUGUUUUACUUUGUUCCUUUUAACUACACAUUUGUUUUGCUUUUUUUUUAAAAAAAAAUUCAUUUUAUGAAUUCAGUUUUCUCACUUUUUGCCUUUUUCUUUCUCUUUUUACCUUUCAUUGUUCUCUCUCUUAUCCUCGAUUAAGAUUUCUUGCCUUAACUCUUGAUUCUUAACUUUGCCGAUUACUUUUCCUUUGCACUCUUGCGACGCCCUCUUAGGGUUUAUCUGCUUGUGUCAGUUAAUCGUAUUAUGGUAUCAGAGUAUGUGCAUAUAGGGAUAGGCCUAAAAUUAUCUAACUCGUCCCAAAUGAUCCUUAAUUUUGUAAAAUACUCAAUCACAAAUAAAUCCCCUUGAUUUAAAGAAGCUACCUCAAGUGGAAAAUCAUAAAUUCUAGAUAAGUCACCUUGAGAGUAUUUGGUUUUCAAAUCAUUCUAGAUAUCUAGGGCAACAUCCAUCCAAAUGUUGAUUUGCUUAAUAGGGAGAGAGACAAAGUACACUAACCAUGAAACCACCAUAUUAUUGCAUCUAUUCAGGUCAAGAAAUUUGAAUGGUCUUUUGUUGGGCAAGGAUUUGUUCCUAAAAUAAACUUCACUUUGUUUUUGGACUAAGAUAUUCAUAAGCUAAUGUAUAAGUGUACUUGGGAAGUCACAACUUGAUACAUUGCGGGAUGAAAGACAGGGACCAUGAUGAUUAUAAUUAGGUAUUUAUCAAGUAGAUGAAUAUAUGAAUAGUCCAAAAUAACAUCCUGGAUUAGGAUAUUCAUAGGCCAAGCUUAGGACUGUUCAAUACCUGCUCAACAUCGCCAAUGUUAGGUAACGAGUUUAUAUAUCUUUUAUUGGUUGAUAAAUUGUCAAUAUUUUCAAGAAAAAUAAUUAUGAUUACACUAAAGUUUUUAAUGAGAAAUAAUUAACUACCCAAUCAUUUUCCAAGUAAUGUUUGAUGUUCAUAGUUGAUCAUCAGAAAAGAAAUAUGGAUCCAUAGAGAUUGAGUCUUAUGGUUAUAGGUAAAGUCAUAAACCUCAAUGUUUAUAUUGUAUGUUAAAUUUAUUAAAAUUGAUAUGUAAGAUUUACAAAAAUCUCACUUUUUUUCAUGUUUUCGUUCAUAUGUACAUGUUGUACAAAUAGAAACAAAAUCUAUUUAGUAAGAGUUAUUCAAGAAAAUUUUAGGAGAAAUUCUCUAUAACAUUGACUCAUAAAAAACCUAUUUUUAAUACCUUUAGGAUAUAUGAUGUAAAAUAUUUAAACAAUUCUCUAUUAUGAUGUAAAAUUUUUAUAUUUUGCAAAACUUAGAUAUUUUUGUAAUAUAUCAUGAAUUUAUAUCUAAAAAAUUAUAUUAUGAUUAUGUUUGAGAAAAUAUUAUUACAGAAAAUUAUACUCCCAAUUUCUAAUUAAAUAACAAUCCUAUUACAUGAGUUAUCUAAAAAAAUUUAUCUCAAUUACAAAAAUGUUUAACUUUUUACUCAAAUAGGAUAUAUUACAUUAACUUUUUUUUUAACCUUUUUCUAUAGUCAAAGAGAUGUAAUAUUUGUGAGUAUUCACAACUUUUGUAAUAUUUGUACAUAUUACGUUAUUGUUGAACUAAUGUAUAAUAUUUGUAUGUUGGUGACAAUUACACUGAUAUCUUAUCUUAACUGAUGUAAAUACUUUUGACAUAAUGAAACAAUGUAUUUUUAUUUAAGAUUAUCUCAUAACUCAUUGACACUUUCAAAAUAGUAAGAAAGAUGGAAGUUUUGGACUCAGCUGUCAAUUAUUAUUAAUAUCACCGACAUUGAAUAAAUUUAGAAUCUAAAAUUAUUUAUUUAUAUUUUAGGAGUAUAUAAAUAUGCAUUUAUUUCACAAUCGCUUUUUAUCCUCUUAGUGUAAAUGACAUAUAAUCUAUAAAAAUAUAAAUAAGGCCAUCAGUUUGUUAAAUGUAUUAUUUUUACUAAAUACAAAUUUAAUACUUAUACUAUAUCUUUUAUAUAAUUUUUAUUACUAUUGUUAUUUAUUUAUAUAAUUGACAAAAUUAUUCUUAAAGAGCUCGGAAAACUUGUCUGAAAAUAAUUUGAACAGGUGGUUGAAAAUGAUUGAGAUGAAAAAACCUAAAGGUAUUUGCUAAUGUAUUAAUUCAAUUAGUCUAAAGAGACAUACUUAACUUGACUAAUGUAUGCUAAUUAUGCGUUUUAUUUAUUUAUUUAUUUUUUUUAUUUUAACCUAUUACUAGAUAGAGUUUGCUUAUAUAAUGUUGAUAUUGGCCAAUAAAUAAUAAAUAGAAUACAUUUGAUAAAAGUUUCUUAACUUACCAUUUUUCAUAUUGCGCAAUUGCCUAUUAAAUUAUCGAUGAAUAACCUUAGUGCAAUAUUAGUUGUUUAGGUUUUAUUAAUCUAAUUAAGGAAUUAAAAAGUAUAUUGAAAAUUAUACGAGAAUGUAUUAAAAACCACAAAGAAACAUAUUUUCUCACAAUAAAAGAGUUAUUUCUUAAUUUUUUAAUUAGUAUUCAACUACAAGUAUUUGUCAAAAUAUCUAUCUUUCUAAAAAAUAUACCUUUCUAAUUUUUAUUUAUUAAUGAAGUCUUUAUAACUGUUUUAAGACGCCUGGGUAUAUAUUUUAUUAUUAAUUUGACUCUUAUAAAUAUAUUGUAUUUGAUUAAUUUUAUUAUUUAAAUAACUAUAAUUAUUAGCAAAGAUUAUUAUGUAACGCUUGUUAUCUACACAGUUUAUUACAAAUUUUACUUUUAUCUAUAUAACUUAUUUUCUUAUUUAAAUAACUAUUAAUAAAAAUGAUUCCUUCUGUGUUAAUGAGUAUUUUGUAAGGAAUUUUAGUAUACAUAAUUUGUUACAAAUUUUAUUUUUGUUAAUAUAAUUUAUUUAUUAAUUUUAUUAUUUAAAUAACUAUUAAUAAGGACGAUUCUUUUUUAUGAUUAUUUUCUAAGCAUGUAAACAUUUUAUUAUCAAUUUUAUUAUUUAAAUAAAUUACUUAAAAGUUGAGCAGAUUGGGUGUAUGUUCCUUUAACUUUCAAAGACAUUGAUUGUUUUAAAAGUUGGUAUUCACAAAAAUUAAAAUGGAUAAAGAAGAAAAGGGAGUUGAUUUUGUGAAAUGAGUUAUGCAAUAGGAGCACUGCUUGCUCCAUCUUCAUCUCCAACUUUCCUCCCUUUGGUAACACUAUUUUCUCUUCCCUCUUUCCCUUUCCACAUCUUCUUCCCUUUUGUGUCAUCAUAACAUUCUUUUUCUAUUCUUUUUGUGGAUUUUAGGUGAAUUCCACUGCUUCUGUGGAACUGGAACAAGGGGUGAAGCCCAUUGAAGAUGGGUAUAAGUGGCGCCUGGUUUUGGCUUACGAAGGAACCCGAUACUCAGGUUUCCUUCUCUUUUCAUUUUCGCACUCUGCCCAUUCCAUUUCAUCUAUAAAGCCUUCAACUUUCUCAAACAUUUUCACUUGGGUCGUUAUCUUUAUUAUCCGGGUCUUGUUGCUUCACUUGGCACUUAUAUUUGUUUCUGAAUUCCAUGAGUGCUUGUUUAAUUUAUCUUCUCAUUCUAUUGUUUUUGUACACACAAAGUUUCAAUGAAACUGCUUUGUUUAUUAAGAUGUUUGCAUAGUUGCAUACAUUCAGUUUUCAGUUGCUUUGAAGAAUUUUAAACAUUGUAUUUAUCGUUUUAGGGUGAUCUCAUUGUAUCUGGCAUUAUGAUUAUAGUCAUGGGGUCAGAAAUUUAUAAAUGCACUUUAAGGAGUAAGCAUCUUACUUUUCCAAUGUCAUUUUACACCCGAAAGAAAAUACUAUAGUUAAUGAUGCUUGGCUAAUGAUGAAAGUGACAGAUAUUUACAAUUUUAAGGACUGAAAUGGGGGGGUUUCUUGAACUUCCAGAGGAUAACAACCUUUUGUCUUAAGGCCAUAUAGAAAGGUGCACUUUUCCAGUAUUAAUAAGUAAAUAUAUAGUUUAAUAAUUGAGUUCUUUCCUUUAACCCUUGAAUGAUGAUCAUAUUUCAGGCUGGCAAUAUCAACAGUCUCCCCCUACUGUUCAAUGCGCUCUGGAGAAAGCUUUAACUCAAGCAACAAAGCUUCAAAGGAAGGAUCUCAGUUUGGUUGGUGCGAGCAGGACUGAUGCAGGAGUCCAUGCUUGGGGUCAGGUCUGGUUUUGUUUCUUUUGUGUGGCUUCAACUUUCAAGUAACAAGCAUCGUAAAUUUAUGACUUGGAAGAACUUUCUACUGCAGGUUGCUCAUUUUUUUACACCUUUUAACUAUGACAAUUUAGAAGACAUUCAUGCAGCUCUGAAUGGCCUUCUUCCUUCUGACAUCCGAGUUAGAGAGAUCAGCCCUGCAUCAGCUGAAUUCCAUGCUCGAUUUUCUGUCAAAAGUAAGAUUUACCAUUACAAGAUAUACAAUGAUAGCAUCAUGGAUCCCUUCCAGCGGCAUUUUGCUUACCAUAGUAUAUAUAAACUCAAUAGCGCUGUUAUGAAAGAAGCUACAAAAUAUUUUGUUGGGAAGCAUGAUUUCUCGGCCUUUGCCAAUUCAUCCCACAAUGAUCGGGUGCCGGAUCCAGUGAAGCAUAUAUUCCGAUUUGAUUUGAAAGAAAUGGUACGUUACUAGUUCUACCACUGAAGUAUUUUGCAGUCUAUUACCCUCUCUGUACCUUUUUCUUUAUUUUCUGUGAAGACUUUAAAGCUUGAAGAGACUGAUUACUUCAAUAUCCUUGAUUAGGGAGCUCUUUUGCAACUUGAGGUUGAAGGCACAGGUUUCUUGUAUAGACAAGUCCGAAACAUGGUAAAUAGUCUUGUUCCUGAUUAAUGUAGAAGAUUAGUCAGCAAUUUCAAAAUCACUUAGUAGUUGUUCCACUUUUGCAAUGAAUAUUUCUGUUUGCUUUUCCAGGUGGCUUUGUUGCUUCAAAUUGGUAGGGAAGCUAUCCCUCCUAACAUUGUUGCACAUAUUUUGGAAAGUCGAGAUCGCGAAGAGCUUGCAAAAUACUCAUUGUCUGCCCCUCCUCAUGGCCUCUGUCUUGUUUCUAUCAACUACAAUGAAAGUCACCUAUUGCCUCCACCAGGGUGUCCUGCAAACAGUUUUGGCAGGUAUCAUACCAUAAGGAAAUGCAAGGUUCCAUUCUUUUUGUGAUAGGCAAUAAAGCUAACAGUCUAAGGUUUUUUGGUAAUAAUAAUGACCUUAGGACUGAGUUUUUUACAUUCAGAUUUUAAGGAUAUUUAAAAGAUGUAAUUUGAUUGAAGUACAGUCUUUGUUUAAUUCAAACAUGUAGUUCAGUGCAGCCACCGGUAUUUACUCCAUAUAUUUUAGAGUUAAAGAUUAAAUCCUUAGUCCAUUACUACAUAUAUUACAAAAACAAAGAACAUAGUCCAUAAUAAAUCAAUUUGAUCUCUUGGCAUUGCAACCACAGCUCAUUUUCAUUUAUCUCAUUAAAUCAAUUAAUUUUGCAAUUGUAAGUUUAAAAUCUUUUAAAAUUGAAAACAAAUUUUGGAAAUUAGUUUUUUUCCCAAUUUUAUUUAACAUUUUUGUCAUCUUAUUAAAAUUAAUUUAAUGGUUAUGACAAUCUAAUGACGUUAACAAAGAUACGUGUUGCCAGUGGAGGUAGCGACAAUAUUAGAUUUGCGGCAACGAUGAUAGCAAGACAAGUGAUUCUCUAAAAUUAAAAUCAAAUCACAUAAAAAAUAACUUUUUAAAAAUUAAAUUGCAAUUAAAAAAAUAAACUAAAAUAAAAUUUAUUAUAAAUAUAAAAAGUUAUAUUUGAAAAUAAAUAAUAUAUAAAAAUAAACUGUUUAAUUUUUUUAAUUAAUUGUCUACUAUGAAUGAAUUGAGUGUGAGUGAGCCUAGACUAAGACUAUGUUCACAAUUAAAUAUAGUUAAAAAUAUAUCUACCUAUAUUCGAAUAACACAAAUAAGUAACGGAUAACUAUAAAUGGUUAGUUAUUCAUAACUAACAACUACCGAUUGUACAAGAGCAAUGGAUUGUACAACAUGUCAGAAUGUGUUUAAACUGUAAAACAAGCCACAGCUGGAAACAGAAUCUAGGAUUUUUUGAUUGAGACACUGUUGUCCUAUAACACUACUUGUAGUGAUGUCCUUCGUGAACAUCAUCACAGCAACAAAUACCAUCACAAUGAACAUCUGCUCAUAGUGUCAACAGCAGUCUCUUAUUCCUUCUAAUUACCCUCCGCUUUCCCUAGGAAGAAUGCUCAUUAUUAAGUUGUGAACAAUAGUAUGUGUACGAGUCAUGCGCAAGGUUCUGUGGAACACAGACAAACAUAACUAGGUCAGUUUAAGUCCAAAGAAUUCAAUAAAUGAUGAAAAAAUAGUAAUCACAAUACCUGUUCCUGAGAGCGGAAAUACAUGAAGGGCGUAUAAUGCAGAAAGUUUGACACCCUAGAUGUGUAUAUGUCGGCAUAUCUGUCAUAAAUUUAAAAAGUUCAACAUCAAAAGAGAAAUAAGAUGAAAUAGAGAUCCGGGGCAUCAAAAAGCAAGCACAUACUUCUCAAUUUGUCUCAUCAAGUGGCUUUUAUCCCACAGUCCAGCACGAGAUAGAAAACCCCACCUAAUGCAGAUAUAUACACCAAGUUAAUAACAAAUGCAAAUGGUAAAAAAACCAAAAAGCAAGACAAGCAGCAUCCAAAUUGUUAUGUAAAGAAUACUCUCCCCUAACCCAUAUAGCAAAGGAGAAAAAAAAGAUAUCCCAACUUCCUUGCAACUUUUAAAAAGCGCAAAAACCAGGAUAUUGUAAUGGUCAAUAGUAUGUUCAUGUUCACUGUAACAAGAGCAGUUUCUUAUUCACCGUGGAUGCCACAGAAAGAGAAGUAACCAGAGGGGAAGGGGGUUGAAAGUUUGCUAUCGUAACAGAGGAUCUUUGGUCUUUCUAAUAAUAUCAAGUACAGACCGAAUACAAUUAGAGACCUUCUGAAUAAAAAGUUCUAUCCUCUAAGCUUACCUUGAAUUGAAGAGCUCCCCGUCAGCCUCCAGCAUUGGAGCAAUUUUCUUAUCCAGUCUUUGCAUAACAAUAAGUAGCUUUUGCAUGCUAUCGGUGAGGUCUUCAUCAUUCAUGUUAGUUGCUGCAAGGGUCUUUUAAGAAGAUAGAAAAUAUUACAAUCAGUACUGAAGCAACAGGCCAACAGUAUAUGUAGCCUGAUCUGGGUAACUUCAUAAAAUAAUAAUAAAAAGGUAUGCUCAAUGUAAGUUUUCUGAGAUUUUUUUGAGAUUUUUAGGCACAAGAGUCACAGUUGAAGCAUUAACAAAAAGCUUCAAUAUAUGAAAGGAAGGUUAAUAAUUAGGCUAAUAAUGUCAAAGUUUAUAACAAAAUAACUAGCAUUAAUAACUGAGAUAUGUGGGAACAGCGUUGAAUGAUUAUCUUUAGAAUAAGACUAUAGGCAACAAACUAAUAGCAGCCAAAGAUUGACCAGGGGUGUAUUAUCACACGAAUGCAAAAGAAAAAUCCUAAGUGCCUGAUGCUUUUCGUAUCACCAACAAUGGCAAGAGGUAUUUCCAUUACAGCAAACAAAGCAUAGAAAAUAUCAGGAUUAUAUGAUCAAAACUUACCUGAGCAGGACGGUCUCUAUUUCGCCUCUGCAGAGCCAGCCGAAGUUGGUUAAAGAGAUCCCCUACAACCUCCUUUUGAUUUAUAAGCUCCACCAAUGAUUCUCUAUAACUCCGGCUACCAAUCAAGGCAUUGUACUGCAAGUUUCAACAUUUACAAAGCACAAGGAUAUUUCUUAGUUGUAUCUAGUCAUGGCAUUAUAUUUGCUUUAUAAACACAUACAGUUCAAUACAAUGUAUUACUGAAAGCCAUUAAAUGCAUUUUAGCUUUGAGUCAACAAGCAAUCAUACUAUUUGCUUAUUUCGAGAAAAAAAUUGAAAUUCGGGAGUUUUUUAGUCAGAAAUUAAACAAGCAUAAGCUGGUCUUACUAACCUCUUCUUCCAGUUCUCGACAAAUCAAUGCUGUUCGCCACCGCAAAUGGACUUUGGAUUGACUGACAUCAGUGUAAAUAUGGUCGCCAACAUACAAUAUCUCAUCUCCAUGAACACCUAGAGAAUUUUCAACCAUUUGCGCACUCCCCCCUGAAUACAAACCACCUGCAGAAGAUGGAGUACCAUGAUCAUCAGUAGUAGCAUGAGCAGCUCAAUUAUCCUCAGUGAAAAACAACAUGAUGAUUCGAUGAGUAGUAUUAAAAUAAAUUUUGGAAAAAAAUGCCAGCAAUUUUGAAUUCUAGUUAUAUAUUAUACAAUCACUCUUUCCGAAUGUCAUCAAAUCUAAAAUAUCCAGAACUAAAUGGUCGAUAAAUAUUAAUGCAUCAAAAAAAUGUCAGUGUUUAUUUCUUUGUAUUGUCUACAAUCUACGACUUAUUCUCCAUUCCCAUUUCUGUAAAGGAGGUAGUAGCAAAUCCAAAAGCUAACAGUAACAGAUAUAUUCGAGAAAGGAAUGCCUCCAAACAUCUAAUAUUUUUGGUUCUGUUAAAUGAAUAAAAACGUAUUUCAGGAACAGAUGCAUUCCAUUUUUAGAGGUUCAAAAAUGUACUUCAAAAUAAUGUAUUUCUCAUUUGAAGCCUUUUGCACUUUUAUACAGCAGAUCCAAAAACUAUCAGUAACAGAUUUAUUCGUCGAGAAAGGAAUGCGGAAAUAAAUAAAAAUAUAUAACCCUUUUGGUUUUGUUAAAAAGUUCACUUGUCUCGACUUGUAUUACUCGAAUUCCAAUUUUGGAAAUAAUGUAUUUCUCAUUUUGAAACCCUAUUGUCUUUUUGGGUCAAUAAAUCUGGGAACAGUAUUGUCUUUUUAGUUCAAUAAAUUUGUAUGGCUCGCAUUCCAUGUUUGGAAGUCUGAAGUGUAUUCAAAAUAACAUAUUUCUAAUUGCGAAAUCUGGGAACAGCAUUGUCCUUAUACUGUCAUUUUAGUUCAAUAAAUUCGGGAGCAGUAUUCAAAACGACAGUCUUCAUUUAUAUAUUGACCUAUGAAAUAAAAAAAUUAGAACGAUGACAUUCUCUUAGAAAAUAUGAAUCUCAAACUUCAUACACAGUGACAAAGCAAAUGAGCCACAAAAUAAGGAUCAUAUAAACUACUAAUUACCAGUUUGAGCCUUGAGGCAUGGCCUCAUAAGACCGUCGCCUGUGACCACUUCAUACAUGGGGUGUGAUGUUUGGAAGAACUCUGGUUUUCUUGCUGAGACAAUUACCUAUCCAUGAACAAAAUCAUACCCAUUUAUGCAAAUUUAUUUCAUAAUAAGAUAAGGCUGUUAGUUUAGGGCAAAGUAAUGAUGAGGAGAUAGAUAUUUCAUUCCUCCAGUGUCAAGAACUUUUUGUAAAUUUCAUUCAAGAAUAAAGUAAGAAAUAAUGUACACGAACUUACAAUGUCAAAUAGAUCUCGCCAACCCAGAUCAUUGGGAAGGAAUCUAUUAAAAGAAUGACGCAUCAUUUUGUCUGUGUAAUGAUAAUCUGAGUUGGUAAUUAGCAGAAGUUUUUUACCAGCCUGUUUCAAGUAGCCAACUGGUAAGAAGUAGAAGGGCAACAUAUGUUAUGCAAAAUAUAACACAUUAGAAGUAAUACCUCCUUCUGAUCCAAAAGCGCCAAAGGUAAUUCUGGAUCAGGCUCUACAAAAAGUUCAGGCUUAGACAUGAUCUCGCUCUGCAUAAAUUUCAUGUCAUUUGUUGUGAAUGAAGCACAACACUAUAACUUCAGAGUGGCCAAUACAACAGCUUGACUGUGUUUACCUUAAGGCGACCUUCUACAUGUGCCCAGAAAAGAGCUUUUCCAACAGCCUGAAAGUUGUGGCAAUGGUAAAGAAAAGAACUUAAAUAAUCAAUAUAUCAUUUAUGGUUCCGAAACAUUUGCCCUAACCAUAUUACCUUAUAUAGUCCUUUAUAAUCGAGAGGGCCAAGAUCUGAUGGUAUAGUCCCAUCAUCCAAUCUGUCAACCAUCUGAAAGAAAUAGUACAUCAUUAAUGAAGCCUUACCUUAAAAAAAAGUAGUACAUUAAAUAAAAAACUAACACCCUUAUAAAUUAGGUAGGUACUAUGAUUAGUCAUAUUAUUGUCAAGAAUUACGGCUUACAGGAGCUGCCUUAUAUUUUAAUUUCACAUCUUCAUAUUUCAGCAAUCCCAUUUGGACCCUGAUACCUUCUUGAAGUUUGGACUACCUAGUUGGCCUCUAAAAGAGUUAACAAGGGGGAAUGGACAAGGGUUCAAAAGACAUCGCUAACAUUGUUCAACUUUAAGAGAGCAACAAAACCCAUGACCCAUUUGAGAGAUAAAAAGAAGACACAUAAGCCAAGAUAACAUUAUAUCAGAAUAUAUCUCCACCACCGAAAGUUUUGAGGUUUACACCAGCAAUAACAACAUACCUGCAUGUAGGCCACAGCUUCAGACACAGAAAACAGUGUAUUGAGAAACUCCCAUCGACUCUCCUUUCGCAGGUCCACCAGUUCUCUCCCAUACAUCUCACUUCCAUUGCAUAUAAAGUUAAGUAGCACUCUCCAAUUUUUGAUAAAUGACAUCUACUAAACUAUUAAUGUGUAUGAACAUGCAUGCAUGAUUGUUAAUAAUGUAUACAUAACAUAUAUUAAUUUGAAGGCUGUGUAGCAACACAGCCAACCAAUGAAUAGUUGAUGAUGAUUCAUGUGCAAACCUAAAAUGAUCAAAUCGGUAUUGUUGGAAGAGGGAUUUCUGUCAUCCUAAAAUGGUGUAUGUUUUGAUAAGUUUCCAUUAUCAGGAAUGAAAAUACAAUGACACUUACCUCACAGCUCGAGUAGAUAACAUUUUGGUGCCAUGCAUGGCUCUUUUUAUGUAACCAAAUCGAUCAGCUUUAACCAAAUUUCCUUUCUCUUUGUCUAUGACAAGGCCUCUAAUAACCUGAACAAUUUAUAACAGAAUGCAAAGAUCAGUUAAACAAAAAGGAGAGAAUAUGGAUUUCCAUAUGCCUUUAGCUUGCCAGAGAGAACAUAUUACCAGGUCAGGAUCAAAGGCAAGUCCAUCAACAGGGAAACCCAUGUUCCUAAGGUUUUCCAUACAGUAGUCAUAAGCCCUGCCUUCCCAAGCCUGUAGGAGAAUACGUAGAAAAGUUCAUUACCUAAACAGAAACAAACCUACAGUUCCAGGAAACACCACACAAUACAUAAACUAUUUUGUACUUCUCUUAUUUUGAAACACCAUGCUAAUGUUUUUAACAUACAAAAAUAAAACCAUCAAGCAGAGUAGGGGCAAAAUACUUUGUACUUUACCAAUGUGGUAAACAUCAGAACUAAUAGAAUGAAUUAGUACUAUAAAAUAGUAUUGAGGUCUUGACUCAUUUGAUGAUUACCUUAUGCUAAAAUUACGAAUGUACAACAGAAUUUUUUUGUUUAUAAAUCUGACAUACAGCACAAUCAAAAAUUGAACAAAGGAAGUUAUAUCUGCAUAUUUAGUUAUUAGGAUUAUUAUUGUUCAUACAGACUACUUGGAACAUGGAACAGAAGUGUACCACCACGUUAUAAUGAAUCAAGGUAUAGUCCAUGUCAUAUCCAAUGGCACUGAUGGACCGCAGAUUCAAUGUACGGCUGCAGAAUAUUCCGCGAGGCGACUCUCUGGAUGAAGAAGGGCUCUACACAUGAACACAAACAAAUGAUAUUUUUUUACAGAACAUGAAUCCACUUCUCAGUCAAAUCCAAGCAGGAAAAGAGUGAGAGAGCAAAAAUAGAAAAAAGGCAAAAUACGAGUGCCAGUCAGAAACAAUAAUUAAAUGAAAAAAAUAACAAGUGAUUGAAGAAGUAAUAGGUGGUUGUGGAAAAGGUUGAUAAUAAUGAUAUAAAACAUCCACAUUCUAGGGUGACACUCCAAAAUAAAAAGUAGAAAUUUAUCUUCCGGGAACAUCUAUGGAGAAACAAAAAUAAUUAAAUGAAGAUAUAAGUAAAUUAUAUCAAGUAUCGUCCUUUCAAAACUUUAAUGAAACCCACACAAACACCUCAUAUUCAUUGUAUACGUAUAUAGAUAUCUAAAAUAUGAGAGGCCUAGGCAAUUUGUAAAAGUGGUCAGCUCAUGAUGGUUGAAUAACAAUGUAAAACUAAAAGGAGGAUAUUUUGCAACUUGUCAUGUGAGACGUCUAAAUAUUAAGCAUACAGCUCACGAAAAACACAAUUUGUAGCAUGUUUAAUGUCCAUUAUCCAUCCAUGCCUGAGUUGAAAAGAGAAUUUGAUAAUGAUACAAAUAUGCACACAGCAGAAGAGCACAUUAGGGGAUACAGAUACCACCAGAUAUUGCAUAGGACACAGGGAAGUAGACUGAAAAUUGAAAAAACAAACACAAGCAAGCAAAAGGAGUAGGCCAACUGCACCACCGGAAUGCCCAAAUCUUUUAGCAAAUCCUCUGCUUGUCUUGCUUCUGAUCUGGCCACUUCCUCAAUUGGACCUUCUAAAGCACCAUGACCAUCAAUUCCUACAAGCAAGGGGACCAACAUUUGCCUUGUUUAGCACAAAUUUACAAAACCACACUCAAUUAAAUAAGAGUAAAGAUAUGUUUGAAGAAAACUUAUUCAUAGAAACUUCUAGGAGAGAAAAAAUAAGAAGGGAAAAUAAAUUCAUUUUAUCUAUAAGCUAAAAUUAGCUUAUGUAUGAGGUAAAGAAUCUAAUACGAAAAAAUAUUACAAAUUAAAUUUAGUGGUAACAAAAAAAGAUGUACUGGAAGCGAAUGAAAUCGGCCUAAGCUGAUAUCUGUUGUUCAGAACAUUGAAACAACUAUAUGAUCCAAUGUCCUAUUCUAUGAUAUAAAGAAACUUUCACAUUCAGAAGCAACACUUGAUCUUGAUCUUGAUCAAUGGUGCUAUCAAGUAACAACCAGCAGUCCAAAACACAAGCAAGACAGACAAAUGCAAGUGAAGACCAAACAUGAGAAUCUUGGAAAAGUUUCAAGUAUUACCGAAAGCCUCAAGAUGCUCCGACUUGACGUUCAAAUCACCUUUGGUGCUCUCCCCAAGGUAGUCCACGUCGGACUUGUUCGACGACGUCACAGAGAAAACGUCAGUGUUUGAGUCAGCGCUGUAGCAACAAGGCGUCAAAGCCUUGUCUGACUUCAAAUUCACGCGGUUAUGGGAAGUUGGUCUGGUGAAAGCUGCAAUCUUGAAGCACUUGUUGUUGCUGGGGGUGGUGGGAGCCACUGCCGGCGUAGCAUCGCCGCCGUGGACGGCGAAGAAGCCCAAAAGGUCCGUGGAGUACAUGAAUUUGCAGUGGUUGAAGUGAGGGAAGAGAGGAAAGAAGAAUAUGAUUGGUGGGUAACACUGGCAGUGAAGAGUGAAGAAAGAGUUGAGGAUAGAGCUUCUUGCCAGAGACUGAAACAACACUGAACACAGAAUCUCUUUCUUUUUCGUUUGUGGCGUUAAAUUUGGAUUUGGAUUUUAUUGGGAUGUGUAAGCUCAAGAAAAAUGUUUUUUUUUUCUUGACUUAUAUUAGGUAUAUAUUAUUUAUUUAUGGUAUACCCAGGAUAUCUUUGCUUACCACUUUUGUUAAAUUUUAUUGAAUUUAUCUAAACAAAAUUUUAUUUGUGGUAAUUUCUUUAAUUGUUUGUAUUUAAUUAUAAGUUGUGCCACAAAGACAUUUUGGAUCGAGAAAUUGGGUGUGUAAAAUGUUGAUUAAAUAUAUUUUUAUUGUUAGUUUGGAUGGAAAGUAAAAUGUAUAAAAAAAUAUCACAUUCAUUUUAAGAUAAGUUUGGAUGAGAAUAUAACAUUCUUUUUAUAAUGCAAUUAAUAUAUAUGUAUAUAUAUGUGUAAUUUACAAUAUAUUAUUUAAUAUUUUUUAAUAUUAUUUUUACAAAAACAUAUUAUUGUAAUGUAAUAAAAAUAUAAAUACAGUUUUUUACUAGUGUGUCUAUAUAUAUGUAUAUAUAUAUAUAUAUAUAUAAAUUUUUAUAAGAAUGGCUUUGAAAAAAUAUGUGAUGGUGAUUUUUAAAUAAGAUGUUAAUUAGUUAUUUUAAAAUGGGAAAAUAUUUAAUUAUUUAUUUAUUAAAUAAAUAAAUAAAUUAUUUUUAUCUAUUUAAAGAUAAUAUUUUUCAAUUAAAAAUAGAUAAAAAAAUUUCAGUGUAUACUUUUAAUAAUAUAAAUAUAUGUAUAAAAAAAGGCGACAUGCAUGUAGUAGUGAUUAAUUAAAACUUUAAUUUUAUGAUAGUGUGUGCAUUUAAGUAAAUUUAAUAAAAAAAAAGUUUACAUUAUUAAUAUUUAUUAUUUGUAUUAAUGCAGCAUUUAAUAUUAUCAUUUAAAUAUAUUUAAAAAAAUUAUGAAAAGGUUUUAUUCAUGUUAGUAUAGACUGUAUAAUAACUCUAUGAGUAAGUUCGGUUCGGUUUUUAAGAUUGUUUCAGAUUUUUUAAUGAAAUUUUGAAUGUGUUACAAAUGAUAUCUAUAUGCACAUCAGUUUAUAAAAAAAAGUUAUUCAAUUAUAAUGUAUUUAUUAGAUGCGAUAAUGGAAAUAUAAAUCUAUUAAAUGUAUAAUAUUUAAUGAUACUAUAUAUAUAUAAAAGUAAUUAAUUCACUAAAAAAAUUAUAAUUUUAACCGAAGUUUAUUAAUGGAGGUUAAUAUAAUUUUUACUAAACAUUCAAGUAGAAGAGUUUUUCAAACUUCUUUUAAACGAAGUAUUUUUUUUUAUUUUUUUUCUUUUAGAAAUUUCAGUGUACUUUAUUUUUACCGUUUAUUAUUCUUCAUUUUGUUUUUCUUUUAUAAUCUUCACUUCAUGUUUUACACUUUUUAUUUUGUCUCUUUUAUAGUCUCUUUCCUUUUUCAAGAAACCAACCACCACAGUGUUUCGUUUUGUAAAAUCCAACUUCGUUGCUCGCAUGGAAUUUGUAAAUUUUUUCAAAGGUAAAUCAUUUCAAAUCCUUCAAAAUUCAAUCUCAACCAAAAUUUUUGCUGCGUUUUCCUUUUGCUCUAUUUAGUUUUUCAAAAAUGGUUUUCACUUUUCCUAUUUUUCAUGCCCUAGAUCAUUUCAAUAGUUAAGUGUUAGUGAAUUGUUUGUUUUUUCAACAAAUUCUGGUGCGUUAUGUCACAAACUAUUCACUCUCGUUUCAUAAGCCUCCCGUUCUCAAACACAUCAUCAACAUGUAUGUUGUGCUAUUUGCUCAUUUUUUCUUUACAUAUGAAAAUGUCUCUUCUUCACUUGUUCCAUUGAGAUUCUUCAAAUAAUCAUCACUCUUUUCACAUUUUCUUGUUAUUUCAUAAACAUCUAGGCUCACAAACUCUAAUUCUUUAGCACAUGAUCCUGAUGUGACUACUACUACUACCAACAAAUAUCAUGUGACAUGUUCUCACCGUACAAAAUAAAUGGUCAUCGUACAAAAUAAAAUAUAAUCUUACUCACACAAUAAACAGUGAAAAAAAAUGAUGGUUCAACUCUUGCUUUGGUUUAAUCCGGAUUUGGUUAUAACCACUCUUAAGAUCAAAUUUGGUAAAUAUUUGAGACCAUGUAACUCAUACAACAAGUCAUCUAAUCUAGGAAUGGGAUGUCUAUAAUUAAUGGUUAUGUUGUUUAUGGCGCGACAAUUCGUACACAUCCUCCAACACCCAUCCUUUGUAGGGACAAGAAUCACAGGCAUAGCACAAGGACUCAUGCUAUCUUGCAUUCACCCCUUAGCUAUUAAUCCCUCUACUUAUUUUGUUGAAUUUCUCUGGGCUCGGUUGGAUUGGUCCUAUAUGUAGGCCUAUUUGGUAAAUAAGCACCGGGAAUGAAGCCUAUUUGGUGCUCAAUGUCCCUUAGAGGAGGUAAUCCUUUUGGGAUCUUGAAAAACAUCUUCAAAUUUCUUUACCAAAAUUUUCAAACAUGUAGGGUAAAGACUAUCUACCACCGACUCACUCGUAAGGGUCCUAGGAAAACCUAAGUAUAUAGACUUUUGGGAAAACAUUACCUUUUUAAACAUUAUACUAACUAAUUCACUAACAAAAAAUUAUAAUUUUAACAGAAGUUUAUUAAUGGAGGUUAAUAUAACUUCUACUAAGCAUUCAAGAAGAGUUUUUUCAAACUUCUGUCGCGAUUUUAAACAAAGUAUUUUCUUUUAUUUUUUCUUUUAGAAAUUUCAGCGCACUGUUAUUUUCACAGUUCACUAUUCUUCACUUCGUCUCUUUUACACUCUUCACUUUGUCUUUUUGACACUUUUCUUCGUCUCUUUUACCGUCUCUUUCUUUCUUCAAGAAACCAGGCGCAACAAUGUUUCGUUUUGCCAAAUCCACCUUCGUUGCUCGCAUGAGGAAUAGAGCAUGUUGAGGGUCCCUUGUGUGGGGAAUAGAAAAUGCUGAAUUUUUCAGUCUUAGACCAGUCCAUAAUUAACCAGAAUUUUGCCAAUUUAACAGGGUCACAAGCAGCAUAGUUGGAGAACGUCCUAAAGGAGUAUGAAGGGGUUUUUGAAGAACCCAAAUAGCUACCACCCAACACAGAGAAAUUGACCAUAAGAUUCCGAUCAAAGAUGAGAUGGAUCCUAUCAAUGUAAGACCGUAUAGAUAUCCCCAUCUGCUGAAAACGGAGAUAGAAAAAUAGGUAGAGGAAAUGAUGAAGAUUAGAAUAAUUAUACCCAGUAACAACCUUUAUUCUAGUCUGGUGAUACUUGAGAAGAAGAAGGAUGACAGUUGGAGGUUUUGUGUGGAUUACAGGGCUCUGAAUAAGGCAACUAUUUCGGUGAUAGAAGAACUGCUAAACGAACUAUGUGGGGUGCAAUAUUUUUCUAAGGUGGACCUCAGGGCCGAAUAUCACCAAAUUCGCAUGCACGAAUUGGAUAUACAAAAGACCGCUUUUCGCACCCACCAUGGACACUAUGAGUCACUUGUUAUGCCAUUUGGGUUGACAAAUGCGUCUGCCACCUUCCAGUGCACCAUGAACGACAUUCUACAAGCUUAUUUGAGGAGGUUUGUUUUGGUUUUCUUUGACGAUAUUCUGGUCUACAACAAAACUUGGGAGGAACACCUGACCCAUUUGAAGAAGGUUUUAGAAACCUUGCAACACCACCAGUUUUAUGCCAACCACAAGAAGUGCGAUUUUGGCAAGCGGGAGGUACAAUAUUUGGGUCACAUCAUGUCCGGUCAAGGGGUUCAAAUGGAUCCCAAAAAGAUUUUGGCUAUAUUGCAAUGGCCAAUACCUAAGUCCUUGAAGGCCCUAAGAGUAUUUUUGGGUCUCAUGGGUUACUAUAGGAGAUUCGUUUAUAACUAUGGAAAAAUUGUCAUGCCUUUGACACAAUUAUUGAAAAGGGGAAGUUUUGUGGGGACCACAGAAAGCACAAAAGCUUUACACAAGUUAAAAGCAGUAGUCACUACAGCUCUGGUGUUGAAGAUGCCAGAUUUCAAUCAAGCUUUCUGUAUUGAAUGAGAUGCGUUUGGGAUAGGACUAAGAGUAGUGCUAUAUCAGAACAAACAAGUUAUUACUUUCUUCAGUAAGGCCUUGGCCGAGACUUCACUCACCAAAUCUGUCUAUGAAAAUGAGUUAAUGGCCUUAGUGUUGGCUAUUCAAAACUGGAGACCAUAUAUGAUAUGGCGGUGGUUCACGGUUAAUACUGACCAAAAGAGUCUGAGAUACCUUCUGGAACAACGAAUAACCACCUAGAACCAACAGAAUUGAUGAGCAAAGUUGAUGGGGUACGACUUUGACAUUGUGUACAAACCAGGAGCGGCCAAUAGGGUAGCACACUCGUUAUGUCGAAGAUUAGAGGAAGAUGAAGACAAAGUUAAGGAGAUCAAUGUCUUGUCCAAACCUUAUUGGAGGGACGUUGAAUUAGUGGAAGAAGAAAACUUGCAAGAUCCUACCCUAAAGAAGAUCAUGGAGGACUUGAAGAGCAACCAGAGUCACAUGAAAAUUAUACCCUGGAAAAUGGGAGACUUCAUUACAAGGGUAGAAUAGUGUUAUCGGCGUCUUCCAGUUGGAUACCCAAGUUACUACACGAAUACCAUACGACUUCGUUAGGUGGACAUUCAAGAAUUUUCCAUACCUACAGAAGGAUAGGUCAGUCGUUGUACUGGAUGAACAUGAAGAAGAGCAUCACGGACUACAUCCACGCUUAUGCAAUUCGCUAGCAGAGCAAAUAUCAGGUGUGUUCACCACAAGGACUACUACAACCUCUACCAAUUCCGAAAAUUGUGUGGGAGGAGAUAAGUAUGGAUUUCAUUGUUAGACUUCCUAAAUCAUGUGGGAAGGACACAAUUUUGGUGGUAGUGGAUCGCCUUAGCAAGUAUGGUCAUUUUAUCGCUCUUAAACAUCCAUAUUCUGCGAGAUCUAUUGCGGAGGUUUUUGUUAAGGAGAUAGUGAGAUUACAUGGCAUUCCCACAUCCAUAAUCAGUGAUCGGGAUUCAACUUUUCUAAGUCUGUUUUGGAAACAAUUAUUUAAGUUGCAAGGAACUACGUUGAAGAUGAGCACGACCUAUCACCUCGAAACAAACGGUCAAACGGAAAUAGAUCGUUGGAAACAUACCUACGUUGUUUUAGUUCAGAACAACCUAAUUUAUGGGCGACUUUACUCCCUUGGGCGGAAUACUGGUAUAACACUAGUUUUCAUGGAGCGACGACGUGUACACCGUUUGAAGUAGUGUAUGGUCGUCCACUUCCAUCCUUGGCACGCUUUAUUCCAGGAGAGAUGAUGGUAGAAGCAGUGGAACAUGAUUUAAUGAACCGGGAUGAUGCCCUCUCACAACUCAAAUUUCACCUGGAAAGGGUGCAAGAUUUGAUGUCCAAAUAUGCUAACUGCCAUAGGAGACCUUCCCCAAUUAAAGUAGGUGAUAUGGUUUACUUAAAAAUCAGGCCCCAUCGGCAGCUGUCAAUGCCGAACAGAUUGCAUCUAAAGCUGGUAGCUAGGUAUUAUGGCCCGUUUCAGGUGGUGGCUGCCAUAGGGAAGAUGGCUUUUUGCAUACAACUGCCAGAAAUAGCUCGAAUACAUCUGGUCUUCCAUGUAUCGCAACUGAAGUUAGCAGUAGAGACACAAGAAGUUCAACCUGAGCUUCCUAGAGAGUUUCAAGGCUCUGUAGAGAAAUUGUAUCCAACAGAAAUAUUGGAUAGACGAGAACUGUUUGCCCAAGGAGCAUAUAUUCCACAACUAUUGAUAAAGUGGAAUAAAGGAGAGAGGGACACAACUACUUGGGAGGACGUGACGACAAUCCAAGAACAAUUUCCUGAAUUCAACCUUGAGGACAAGGUUGCUUUGACAGAGGGGAGUAAUGUUAGGACAAAAAAUAAAAAUAAGGAAGACUUGGAAGGUAUAUCAUAGAAGAAAUAAAAAUAGGAACCAUUAAGGGAGCAGUUAGUUGUUGGUUGGGUAUGGUUGGUCAUUAAAUAAAGAUCAACAGGUUUUCGGAAUGUGUUAGUUUUUUAGUAUUACACUUUGGUGAUAGGAGUAGUCUUGUGAGAAAGGGAAUGUGUUCCUUUAGAAGGCAUUUCAUUCUGUAACAAUGAACAACAAUAAACAGAAGAAUUUUUCAGAGUUUUGUUUGUGUCUUUGUGUUUCUUAAUUACCUUUUACUGGAUUCCUAACAUUAUGUCACAAACUAUUCACUCUAGUUCGAUAAGCCUUGUUCUCAAACACACCUCAACAUGUAUGUGGUGCUAUCUGUGCUCUUAAAUUGGCUCAUUUCUCUUUCUUGUUUUUCUAUUUGAAAACAUUGAUUUUAAAGAAACAAAUAUGGGAUUAAGAGACUUUCAUAUCAGCCUUCAGGUAUGUCCCUUCUUCACUGUUCCAUUGAGAUUCUUUGAAGUUCAUGACAAAUAAUCAUCCUCUUUUCACAUUUUCUUAUUUCUAUUGGAGAUGUCAUAAACAUCUAGGCUCACAAACUCUAAUUACUACUGCACAUGAUCCUGAUGUGAGCACUACUACCAACAAAUAUCAUGUGACAUGUUCUCACCGUACAAAAUAAAAUGAUCAUCGUACAAAAUAAAAUAUUAUCAUACUCACACAAUAAACUGUGAAAAAGAAAGGAUGUUAAUAAUAAACCCUCUCUACUGCAAAAUCGCACUGCACUACUAUAAAUUUGGCUCUCUACUCCAAUUUGAUUCAUUGGUUAUGAUGCAUCGUCUUCUCCCGUUAUUUUUUCCAUGGCUCCCAAAGUUCUUCGACUUCACAAGGUUCAUCUUCCUUCUGCAACAUAGUUAAAAAAAUGUCACAAACUAUUGACCUUAGUUCGAUAAGCCUUGUUCUUAAACACACCUCAACAUGUGUGUGGUGCUAUCUCUGCUCUUAAAUUGGCUCAUUUCUUUUUUUCUAUAUGAAAACAUUCACUACAAGAAAUAAGAAAAAUAGUGUAGGUCGUUGAGAGACACAAAUAGGAAAAAACCCAUGCAAAAUCGCUCUUAUUGUAGGUUUAGCCUCAAACAUAAAAUGGAAACUAAUACCUUUGAUGCUACCACUCUAGCGUAGGAUUGAAUGGUUGACAUAAUUUGAGUGGGCUAAACCUGCGCAAAAUGGAAGCAAUUUGAGUAGGUUAAACCUAUGCAAAAAUGGACGCAUUUUGAGUAGGUUAAAACUACACAAGGUGGACGCAUUUCAUUUUGAGUGGCUAAACCUACGCAAUGUGAAAACAUUUUGCGUGGACUAAACCCACAUAAUGUGGACAUGUUACAUCCUUCUGUAUACGUAUGGACCGCCACAAAGUUUGAGGUUAGUGUAGGUGUAACCACUUCUGGGACACUAAUUAAAUUAAACUCAUGAAUGAAUUUAGCUGACACAAAUUUGUAAUAAUUUAAAAUGUUAGUAUGGGUUAAGCCCACACAAAUUGUGAAAUAAUAUAUAUAUAUAUAUAUAUAUAUUUAAAAAUCAAAUUUGAACUUUUUUUAAAAUUAAAUUAAUACCAUAUUAAAUUUGAAUCAGUUUUCAAUGAAUCUAAAUCUAAUUUAUGAGAAGCACUGAAAAUGUAUGUGUAUCCACAUUUUGUAUAUAUAGUUAUGUUCCAUCUUCAUCGUUGUGUUGCUUCCUCCACUGAAUCUUCUUUACUCCUUUGUAUUAAUGACUUCUACGCCAUGUGAUAUAUGAAACACAAAAAACAAAACAUGGUUAGGUUUACAGUUGUAGUGUCAUAUAAAAAAGAAAUUGAGAAACUUACUCAUUUGAGAAUAGAGUGAGCGAGGGGAAUUAGAGAAAAUAGCGCGUUGGACGAAUAGUCACUCAUCUUAAUUCAGCCAAGGGACCGAUUGUAAACCAAUACAAAAAUUAUAUUCAAAAUCUUAUAUACAAAAACGCAAUGCAUGUAAAGAAGAUGAAACAAUUGAAAUAAAACCAUAAGAAAUAGAAGAAAAAAAAUGAGGAUAAGAGUGCGUACUUAUUUACAUAUAAGAGAAAACAAGAAGAGGGGAAAAUGCGUGUGUCUCUAAAAGAAUAUGAUGUGUGAGAUGAGAGUAAGGUUUCACAUACAUUAAUAAAUACUGUAAGGGCAAUUGAGAGAGGGAAGAGUGAGAAGUUUUUGAUAGAGAGAAAAGUGGGAAGUGUUUGAUAGAGAGGAAAGUGGGAAGUGUAUGAUAGUGGGGGAGGUGGGCAGUUGUUAAGAUGAUUAAUUAUAUUUUAAUUAAAUAAUAUUUAUUUAAAAAAAAAAUAUCAAGUAUACUAAAUUUUAUAAAUAUUUAUUUUUUCUAAAUAAUAAUUUAAUGCUUAUCUGAAACUUAUAAAUUUAAAAACGUAAAUAUUAUAUAUAUUAAACUUUAAAGUUGACAUUUACUUAACGUUAUUAAGGUUUGAAUAAUUAGACAUUUAAUAAAUUUAUAUUUUAAUUAUUAAAUUUAGUUAUUAUAUUAUGUUUAAUAAAUGCAUCAAACGUAUUAUUUAAAUAAAACAAUCAUUUAUAUAUUUUAAAACCUUAAUCUAAUAACAUAAUUAUUAUAUGUAAUAUAUAAUCCAAUAUAUAAUUAUUUAUUUUUAUUUUAUUUUUAUUAAUGCAUAUAAUAUUUUUUUAUUUUAUUAUAAAUAUAUAUAUAAUAUUUUUUUUUAUUAUAAAUAUACUUAAUACUUUUGGGCAUGUAAUUUUUUUUGGGGAUGAGUUUUAAUACAAGUAAAUCUUGUGUGAAAAAUAUUUGUUUUUUCAAUGUAGUAGUUUAAAGUGCUUUGAAGUCAAUUACUUUAGCAUAUUUUGUUGUAAUUUUUUAAAUGUAUAUAUUAAUGUUAUUUAACUAGUGCAUGUGCUUUCGGUUAAUGCGGUUAAGGAUGCCACUGAGUUGGUUGCUGAUCCGAUCGGUCAUCGGUCGUAGAUGACGUCAGCAGUAGAGGACUAUGUGGACCACCCGCAGGGCGACACGUGGACCAGGUGGCAGAGAGAUCAGGGAGACGAUCGCCAGGAGAGGUGAUCAGGGGGUCCGUAACCAAGUGACCACCGACAGAUCAGGCGGCAGAGAGGUCGGGGGACAGAUCAUCCAGAACGAUGAUCGGUGGUCAGUAGCCAAGUGGCCACCAACAGACCAGUUCUCAGACUAACGCCUGGGGGCAGAACGCGAGAAGCAAAUAAACACUGAUCAGUCAUCGGGUGCAUUGUCAUCGGGGUCCCAUGUUACACGCAGUUAAACUAGGAUUAAGGUUCCUAGCGAGAGCGUUAUACAUGGACCUCGCAUGAGCACGUCUUAGGGAAUCGCGCACGAGAGUGGCCUGAGGGAGCUAGUAAACCGAUCAGUGAUUGGUGACUACCCCAACCCAUUACGUGCAUGAAGGGUAAGUCGUUUACGCAAGGAGCAGCGUUUGGUGAGUGUGCCUAGACCAGCCACACCUGACGCUCUCCUAAGAGUACGCGGUUUAUCCAGAUGAGAGAAAUAUCCUAAGUUACUCCGUAAGGGUGUAACUUAGGCACACAAAGAGAAGCGCUAGAGCCCUUCCAGUAAGUGACACGUGUGUGGUUAGAUGUGAGUUGCAGGCCUCCACGUGUCAUCAUCUGAGAGGGGGUUGAAGCUUCAGGUGAAAGUGCACUCCGUACCGCUAAAGGUACAGACAGGCGCAGCCAAGCGCAGAGACGCGCAAACAUGCACAGACUCUCACGCUCCCACUGCUGAUUCUGAAGGUACGCUUUCUCUGAAAAGCAUAACAGGGUUCUGACAUAUGCCAGAAAAGCAUAACAGAAUUUUGUUAUGCCCAGAAGCAGGGAAAGAGACAUAAAAGAGAGAAUCAGGGGGAGAGUGAAAAAAAAAAGAAUAGAGAGCAAGAGUUUCACACACACUACUAGUUUUCUCAUUCGGUGGUUCUGUGGACUAACUUGAUCGUCGGAGUGCAAACGGCCGCCAGAGGCGCCGUCUGUGUGUUUUGCAGGGCACAUUUGGAGAUCCAAGAGAAGGUUCUGAGGGUGAUUCUGCAGAAGACGCAGUCGGGUAGACAGGGCAGAGAGUGCUUGGAAGCGAAUCCUCCACGUUCGAGUUGCCGGCAGGAUCAUUGGGCGCCCACCGUGGGGCACGAGUGAAUCGUUGUCCCAUAUAUACCACAAUUUUGAAGCUUACCAGAGUUUUAUCAGUUUCUUUGAUAGAGAAAGAUGCCUAGAAACAGACAACCCUCACAUGCGCCAUCUGCUGACGAAGGAGCUGUGACAAUGGCGCAGGUCCUGAAAAUGGUGCGCACGCUGCAGGAUAACGCCGCAGCGUCGAAAGUUGAACAAGAGAGGAUGCAGGCGGAGUUGGCCGCGUCGCAGAGUAGGAACGACGAGCUGAAUCGCGUCAACGAAGAGUUGAGAAGGACGUUGCAGGCGCAGAGGGAACACGUGGUUGACGAAAGAAUGUCUAGGCAGCCCUCACCUCCAAGAGCGUUCCCCAUGCCAUUCUCCCCUGAGAUCAUGGGAACCAUGGUGCCUCCCAACCUGGUGGGGGUGAAGGCAUCGUUCAAAGGGGUAGAGGACCCGGAGGCGCAUCUGACGGCGUUCCACACCCAGAUGAUGUUGUCUGGGGGCUAAGACGCCGUGUACUGCAAAAUGUUCAUGAGCACAUUGAGCGGAAUCGCCAUGGAGUGGUUCGUGAGUUUACCAGAAGGGCAUAUCACGUCUUUCUCUCAGUUUUCGAAGCUCUUCACUGAGCAAUAUAUCGUCAACAAAGCACCUGCAGUAGUGUCAUACGACUUGUUCGACGUGCGUCAGUACCAGGGUGAGUCGCUGAAAGACUACCUCAACCGCUUUGGAGCACAAGUGGUUAGACUGCCCAGCAAAGAUGAAGAUAUGCUGGUGCACGCAUUUAAGAAGGGAGUGCUGCCUGGCCCUUUCAGCGAGUCUCUCAUCAGGAACCAUCCCAGCACCUUUGCAGAGAUCCGACGGCGUGCGGUGGCGCACAUAGUGGCAGAAAAAGAGGUUUCUGAGAAGAGGGGAAGUGCUGCACCACCAAGACCGCGUGGAGGGCAAGGAAAGCCACAACAAGUAAGGGUGCAUGAGGCCAAGGAGGGGAAGAAGGUGCGGGAAAAACCUCGUCCCUAUGCACCAGGCAAAGACCAGAGCAGGGGGCGUGCAAGGGAGAAUAGCGCACCCCCGAGAUACAACUUCAUGGUGGGAUUGGCGGAUCUCAUCACCCUUCCUGCUGUAGCAGCAAGACUACGAGUACCAGAGAAGACAGAUAAGGUACUCGGAAAGAAGAAGAAUGAAUGGUGCGAGUUUCACCAGGCCUUUGGCCAUACACUUCACUCCUGUUUGGCACUGGGACACCAACUGGCAGAGUUGGUGAAGUCUGGUUUUCUAGCAGAUUACCUGCGUGAGCCGCAGGGUGAUCGCGCGUCAAGAUCCCAGACUGGAGAACAACAGCAUGAAGUCCCUGUGCAUAGGGAAGUGCAGACGAUCGCAGGAGGCUUCUCUGGUGGGGGAUGCACAGCUUCACAGAGAAGGAGAUACGCUCGAUCGGUGAUGGCGGUAGAUGCGAUAAAUGAGAGUCAUUACCCUGAAGUGGACAUUAUCUUCAGGAAAGCUGAUCUACGGGACGUUGUCCCGCACGACAACGACCCAGUGGUCAUUUCUCUCAUCACAGCGGGAAGACGAGUGCAUAGAGUACUCGUAGAUCAAGGAAGUUCGGCAGACGUCAUGUUCUGGCCAACAUUCAACAAGUUACAGUUGUCCCCUGAUCAGCUAAGACCGUAUACCGGGUGUCUCUACGGUUUUGCAAGAGAUCAGGUAGAGGUGCGGGGAUACAUCGAGCUGAGGACAACGUUCACUGACGGAACGACAGCCCGCACUGAAAAGAUAAAGUACCUGGUGGUGAACGCCCCUUCUGCGUACAACGUCUUGUUGGGGAGGCCAACACUCAAUAGAUUGGGCGCAAUACCAUCGACGAGGCACAUGAAGUUGAAGCUGCUGUCGAUGGAGGGGACCGUGAUAACCAUCAAGUCGGAUCAGGCUGAGGCAAGACGCUGUUAUGAGAACAGCUUGAAGCAAAAGAGAAGUGUGUGCCACGUCACCACGAAACCACCACCAGGCGUGCGCAAAGAGCGAUCGGUGGUCAGGGAGAUACAUGGCGCUCAGAGGAUGGAGGAUGCUGCGGUGGGGGGCUCCCAGGUAGCCCAAGUUGAAGAAGAAGAGGGAGGCGCGAUCGCUCCUCGCGAGUCAGGGAUCGCGAGGGCGGUCAUUGCCAAUGAGAGAAGGCCCCACCCAGCUGAAGGAUGGGUUGAAGUGGACAUCGGGGGAAGAAAGUUCAAGUUAGGGGGAUCCCUCGUUGAAGAAGAGCGAAGGCUGAUCAUGGGUGUGAUUGAGAAGCACAUGAAUGCCUUUGCAUGGUCAGCAUCCGACAUGCCAGGAAUCGACCCCGAUUUCCUCUGCCAUCGUCUGUCGAUGGACCCUAUGGUUCGACCUGUGCGACAGAGGCGAAGGAAAUUCAACGAGGAGAAGAGGAAGGUGAUCCACGACGAAGCACAGAAGCUCCUUGCCGCAGGGCACAUAAGAGAAAUCCAGUACCCCGAGUGGCUAGCGAAUGUGGUACUGGUUCAGAAGGCAAGCGGCAAGUGGAGAAUGUGCGUGGACUUCACUGACCUCAACAAGGCGUGCCCCAAGGAUUCUUACCCCUUACCCAGUAUAGAUGCUCUAGUUGAUAGCGCAUCGGGGGGAAAGCUACUCAGCUUCUUGGACGCUUUCUCGGGGUACAACCAGAUCAGGAUGCACCCCAUGGNNNNNNNNNNNNNNNNNNNNNNNNNNNNNNNNNNNNNNNNNNNNNNNNNNNNNNNNNNNNNNNNNNNNNNNNNNNNNNNNNNNNNNNNNNNNNNNNNNNNNNNNNNNNNNNNNNNNNNNNNNNNNNNNNNNNNNNNNNNNNNNNNNNNNNNNNNNNNNNNNNNNACGUCCCAAGAGAAGAAGCAUCAUGCAGCUGAUCUGGAAGAGCUAUUCACCACCAUUGCCAAGUACAGGCUGAAGCUCAACCCUGAGAAAUGCAUUUUUGGUGUGGAGGCUGGGAAGUUCUUGGGCUUCCUCUUAACAGAGCGGGGAAUCGAAGUUAACCCAAAGAAGUGUGCGGCGAUCGUGGCAAUGAGGAGCCCAACGACGGUGAAGGAAGUGCAGCAGCUCACCGGUCACUUGGCGGCUUUGUCCCGGUUUAUGUUCGCUGGAGGGGAGAAAGGUCACCCAUACUUCCAGUGUCUCAAACGCAACAGCAGAUUUCUCUGGACACAGGAGUGCGAGNNNNNNNNNNNNNNNNNNNNNNNNNNNNNNNNNNNNNNNNNNNNNNNNNNNNNNNNNNNNNNNNNNNNNNNNNNNNNNNNNNNNNNNNNNNNNNNNNNNNNNNNNNNNNNNNNNNNNNNNNNNNNNNNNNNNNNNNNNNNNNNNNNNNNNNNNNNNNNNNNNNNNNNNNNNNNNNNNNNNNNNNNNNNNNNNNNNNNNNNNNNNNNNNNNNNNNNNNNNNNNNNNNNNNNNNNNNNNNNNNNNNNNNNNNNNNNNNNNNNNNNNNNNNNNNNNNNNNNNNNNNNNNNNNNNNNNNNNNNNNNNNNNNNNNNNNNNNNNNNNNNNNNNNNNNNNNNNNNNNNNNNNNNNNNNNAAUUGUCAGAAUUUGACAUCCAGUACGAGCCCCAAGGACCGAUCAAGGGGCAGGUGUUCGCGGACUUUGUCGUCGAGUUGUCGUCGAUCGCGACACCUGCGGAAGGAUUAGACUUCCGAUGGGUAUUAUCGGUGGAUGGCUCCUCUAAUCAGUAGGGGAGCGGCGCGGGAGUCAUCCUGGAGGGACCAAACGGGGUACUGAUCGAGCAGUCCCUCCGCUUUGCCUUCAAGGCUAGCAACAAUCAGGCGGAGUAUGAAGCCGUGAUCACAGGAAUGUUGCUAGCAAGAGAAAUGGGAGCAAGAAAUCUGCUGGCCAAAAGCGACUCUUUGCUAGUCAGCGGGCAGGUUACAGGGGAGUUCCAAGCAAAAGAUCCCCAGAUGGCAGCCUACCUGGAGUAUGUGCGGCUCCUGAAGACGUCCUUCGCCGAGUUUGAAUUAGUGCACGUGCCAAGAGAGCAAAAUGCCAGAGCAGACCUGCUUGCCAAGCUGGCCAGCUCAGGCAAAGGGGGGAAGCAGAGGACCGUCAUUCAGGAGACCCUGAAGGUGCCGCGCGCGUUCGUGUCAGACAACCAGGUACUUCAUGUAUACAAGUCGAUGGAGCGUCUAACGAUCGGUCAUCAGUCGUUGACCCAAGAAACGCUGAGAGCACCAAGGGUGAGAUCGGGACCGUCAAAGACCGAUGAGUCGAUGGAGGUCCAUGCGGGGAAGGAACCCGACACCUGGAUAACGCCAUACCAGCUAUACUUAGAAGAUGGUGUACUCCCGCUCGAUGCGGCAGAGGCCAAAAGGAUAAAGAGGAGUUCAAGUAAGUUCACUCUUAUAGAUGGAAACCUCUUUAGAUUUGGAUUUUCUCACCCUGUGCAGAUCUGUGUGCACGGCGAGCAAUGCACCAGACUCAUGACUGAGCUGCACGAGGGGGUGUGCGGAAGCCACGUAGGUGGUCGCGCUUUGGCAAGUAGAGUACUCCGCGCGGGGUACUACUGGCCAAAGCUGAAGGAAGACUGCAUAAGGUUUGCUCAGCGUUGCAAACAGUGUCAACUGCAUGCAGACUGGCACAAGGCACCCCCUGAGGAGUUGAGGUCCAUCCAUAGCCCAUGGCCAUUCCAUACAUGGGGGAUUGACAUCCUAGGACCCUUUCCCCUGGCGGUGAGGCAGAUGAAGUUCCUCAUCGUGGCCAUCGAGUAUUUCACCAAGUGGGUGGAGGCAGAGCCAGUCGCACACAUCACCGCACAGAAAGUCGAGCACUUCGUCUGGAAGAACAUUGUCUGCCGCUUCGGAAUACCCAAGAGUCUGGUUUCCGACAAUGGCACCCAGUUCACAAGUCAUCAGCUGAGGAAGAUGUGUGAAGAGUUAAAGAUACAACAGGUUUUCGCUUCAGUGGAACACCCACAAACCAAUGGGCAGGUGGAGUCAGCAAAUCGAGUACUGCUCAGGGGGCUGAAGCGAAGACUAGACAAGGCCAAAGGAGGCUGGGCAGAGGAGGUCCCCAGAAUUGUAUGGUCUCCACCCCACAGUCCAGCACCCAUGAGACACCCUUCAGCCUUGUCUAUGGGACAGACGCCAUGAUUCCUGUGGAGAUACAGGAGAGCUCCCCCAGAUUCUUGAACUUUGUUGCUGAAGAGUCCAAUGAAGAGCGUAAGGUGAAUCUGGACCUGCUAGACGAAGUGCGAGAAGAGGCCAGAGUCAGUGCUGAAGCUGUGAAGAGAAGAGUAGAGCGGAGGCACAACUCUAAAGUGAGGCCCAGGCGCUUCCAGGAAGGUGAUCUGGUGAUGAGAAAGGCGCAUCAGAACGACAUGCAGAACAAGUUGUCCCCAAAGUGGACAGGCCCGUACAGAGUGGUGGAGACAUUGGAGAACACCAUUCAUGUUUUCAAGGGCUGCCCCUUUUAGUGGGCAUCUGGCAUCUGGCUACUCUGCCCAUUAGCCCUUCAUACUCAACAGAUGCAGGCUCUCAACUUCUCAGAUUGGGUGAAGGAGAUGGGGAAGUGUCUUGAUGAAGAGCAGCUGGAACUUAUGCUAGUAGUUGCAUGGGCUUUAUGGAGUGAUAUAAAUUUGCUGCUGUUCCAGGACAUACAGAACUAUCCUGUGGAUGUGGUGAACAAAGCAAUCAGCUUCUUCGAAGAGUAUAAGAAGGAUCGAAUGAAAGGGAUUCGGCUCUCAUAGCAGUUACUUGAAGUUAAGUUACCUUUUUGUAUUUAAGAAAUAAUGUCAUCAAUACAAACCAAGAAAAGCCUAAAUGAUGAUGAAGGAAUUCCACGCUAUUCCGAUUUGCUCAAUGUAAACCCUUGUUUCCAUCAACAACUGUAGCUGAGGUGUGCCUACUUACAUGAAACUCAUUUCAAUUUCAAACCUUAUUAACGAACGGCAGUCUUAUAUUCGUUUUUCAGCAUUCAAAACGUUUUAGAUGUGCUAUAACAACAAUUUCAUCUAGAUUUAUUCUAUCGCCUAGAGACUUUGGAGGGAGGAGCAAUCCCCAGAACGUGGAACGCCACCCAUUUAAAAUUUUAUUUCAGUUAAAGUUGUACAGUAAUGGCAUUCUCGCGCUAAAAGAUACAUGCUUUGUAUGUGGUGGAAACAGUUGAACAGACAAGGGGGCACUCUUUUCCCUAAGGAGGGUUUUUAACGAGGCCACCCAAUUAAAGAAAAAUUUCCAGCAUAUCAAGUGUGCUCAAGUAUUAAAGUUAAAGUCCUCCUUGCCCCAGGUGCAAGUGCAGGUGAUUGGUUAGGCCCUACUUGCCCUAGGCGCAAGUACUGGCACCGAUCUAAGUCUUCCUCACCCCAGGUGUGAGCGCAAGCAGUUAAAGGUUUGAAAAGCCAAGGGUGCUAGUAAGACCAAGGGAGGGAAAGGAAAGGGUUUGACAAAACGUCCUUACCCGCUUGGCAUGCACCAAUACUGGCCCAGUAAAGCUCUUAGUCCGAAACCCUUCUUACCCCAGGAGUGAGGCAGGGAAUGAACGACUCAACGCCCCGAAGGGUGAUGACCUUAGGGAAAGUAAGAGGGGUUAGCGAGAAACACUUUUAUUUCCCCAAAACAAGGCAUCACCUCGAGCGAUCGAUGUCAAGGUUCUCUAUGCACUUAGCGCUAGAGCGACAGAGAAGCUAGGUGAAGAUCGAAGAACGAUCACUGAUGAGUCGUCAGUGAUUGGUUAGUGGUGUAAAGCAGCGCACGAGGACUGUCAAACACCAAGCUAAGGGAAUAGCCAGUUGUGAUCAAGUAGAGGCCAAGAACAAGAGAAGCAGAUCGCGCUGGGCCUAAGCUAGUUAACACUUAGUCGUGUGCGAAGCGAAAGAACAAGAGAAGCAGAUCGCGUUAAGCCUAAGCUAGUUAACAUUUAGUCGCGCGCAAAGUGGAAGACAAAGCUCCAGAUCGCGCUAAGCCUAAGCUAGUUAACAUUUAGUCGUGCGCAAAGUGAAAGACAAAGCUCCAGAUCGCGCUGAACCUAAGCUAGCUAACAGUUAGUCGCUUGCGUAAAGAAAGGCGAAACUCAAGAAAAAAUACAAGAGAAGAGGCUCAUACAAAUUGAGAGUUUAUCUUCAUAACCAAGUUUUAUACAAAUCUUGAGUUCUAAGGAAAGUGGUACAGAAGUGAAAAUUUACAAGAAGGAGAAAAGUUUAAGGGGCAGGAGGGAUGAGCUUUCCAUCCACCACUUCAUGAUAGAUGCUGAACUGUGAGAGGUCCAGGUCCGGGAGAACGCAUCUGAUUUGCUCGAGUGCUAGCUCGAAUCCAUCAGUAAGGGCAUCAGCACCCACGUUCAUCAAAUCAGCAUUCUCCGCCUCCAGUUUCUGCUUUGAGGCCUCCGCAGCAUCUCUCUCAGUGGUAACGACAGCAAGGGAGGAGGCAGCUUCAGACAGUUUGCCCACCANNNNNNNNNNNNNNNNNNNNNNNNNNNNNNNNNNNNNNNNNNNNNNNNNNNNNNNNNNNNNNNNNNNNNNNNNNNNNNNNNNNNNNNNNNNNNNNNNNNNCUUUGGUGGACUCGAGCUCCCCCACUAAUUGAGAAUUCAGUUGGCAUAGGGAGGAGGUCUCGGCCCGCAGCUCCACCACCGUGCAGUCCAAAGAGCUAACAACUUGCCCCAUCAAGAUCUCCGUCUUGAUGGUCUCUUGGACCUACGCUAGGUACUCCCUCCUAGCUUUCUCCACCAUGCCCCGCAUCAACUCUACAGAUUCUUGGGCAGCUUCGAAGUCACUUCGCAGUGACUCCUUGUCUUGCUCCAGAUCCUUCACCCUCUUCUCCAGGGCUAGUUGCUUGCGAUGUUGGGUGGAAAAUUCCAGAGAGAGCACUACCUGCUUGGCCAGGUGCAUAUCCACUUCAUCACCAUUCCAUUCGACGAGCUCCCGGUUGCUUAUGAGCUGUCGAACCAGGGUGAUGACCCUGCUGAAGUUCUCGUGGCUGGCCACAGAAGCGCUUGGGCGCGAGCUGGACCCACCACAUUCAGCAGUGGUGGUAGGGAUUGGCAGCAGUGGUGGUGGUGCACCCCCAGUUUGGGCAGAAGCACCCCCAACAGGAUGAGCAGAUGGACCAGGUGAUUGGCUUGCUGGGGGGGAAGAUGGUAGUUGAGAAGUUGGAGGUAAUUGCUGGCAUGGAGAAGGGAGGCAGGUGGGCUCUGCGGCAGGUUGAGCACAGGGAAGUGGGGGAGACCCUUCCUCUACUUCCACCACCUCUAUCUCUCCGGGCUGGAGAGACGAAGCCCCCUCAACUGCUAGCUUCUUCCUCUGACGGUGUAUAAGAGGAGAGCCAGAGCUCUCCUCUUCAGUUGAGGCAGCAGUGGCAGCAGCAGCAAGUGAAGUGGAAGCCUUCACCAGCCUCUUCCUUUUCUUUCCUUGCUCGGGGCCUUCAGCUGGCGCGACCGAGAGUGGAGGGGCUGCAAUGGGCUCAGUUGUAGAAGAGGAGGAGCCAGUGCCCUUGGUUCCCCGACGCUUGGCAAGCUCUAGCAAGGCCAGCCUCCUGUCUUUCCCCGUCAUUGAGUCUGCAUAGACGAGAAAAGGAAGGGUUAGUUGGCCAAGUUAUGCAAGUAAGUCAGAAAACACAUAAAAACAUGCAUGAGAAGAGACAAGUAUCCUAAGAGGUGCAAGAAGAGCUACCUAUAUAUUUUUUCAGAGCCACCACAUCAAAUUCAUCCUUGAUGAGGCGAGCGGAGUUGUACUUGGCCCCCAGGAGCAGCCCACAUAGCUCGCGCUCGUAGGGGGCCAUAGCUUCGAGGUCCCUGGAUUUCUUGAAUUCAACUCCAGGAACCCAGUAGAGGGGGUACCCCUCGAGCAGAUUUGGACUUUGAGGGGUAGCAGAUAUCAUGUAAAAUCUGCCCUUCCAGUCUUUGAAGGAUUGCUGGUACAGGCCCAGGAGCACCCGCCCAGCAACCCCGUUCAGGCUAACCCAGGACCUGUCCCCAGGGUUCUUCGCCUCAAAGAAGUAGAGGAACACGUCCACGGAGGCGUUGUGCCCGAAAUAACUGCAGAGGAUCUGAAAUGCCCGGAUGAAGGCCCAGGCAUUUGGAUGGAGUUGGCAAGGCGCGACGUUUAACUCCAUCAUCAGCUCCUUUUCGAAGAAGGUGAAAGGGAGGCGCAACUUCAACCUCUUGAAGAUAGCGGAGUAGAUGAAGACGAAGGGCACCCCAUUGGUGGCCCUGUCAUCCGCGCAGAUGGGCAUUCCUCGAGGAGGAAUGCGGAUUUGGAUAUUGAAGUCAUUCUCCCUGUCGAUGGCGCAGGAAGGCUCAUCAGGAUUGUGGCUCAGCAAGGACGUGAGGUGGCCCUGGGGCAAUAGAGUGGAGGUUUCAGCGAGCAGCGCCAGGGAGGCCCAUUCGUAGACCCUGACGUUGUCAUGGAAGGAGGUAGCAACAGGCGGUGGUGGAGCUGGCGCACUCGCGGAAGGCUGUGCACCAGAGGAUGAGGCAACUAUACGCGCAGUUUGUUUCAAGCGAGCCAUCGCGAGAUAGCUGCAAAUGGAGGAAAAACGAAAGUCAGAAUGAAUGGAAGAAGAGGGAAUGAUGAAUGUUUCAGUGAAAACAGAGAGGGCGAAGGAGAAAGGGAUGCCCAGGUGAAAAGAGGAAGAAGAAGAAGCAGAAGUCAGAGCGAGAACGCGAAGAAACCCUAGCGCGGGUUGAGAGAGGAAAAAUAGAGAAGAUGAAUGCAUGACAACGAGAAAGACAAAUGCAAUCGGUAAAGAUGACCCAAAUAAGCCCGGGAAGAAGAAAAACCAUACCUUUGAAUGAUCGCGAGAGGUUUGGAGGUAGAAAACUUGAAGAAAGUUGGGUGCGCAGAGAAAGAGCUCGCAGAAGGUCUGAGAGUCGAUUGAAGAAGAUGAAGGAAUAGUGAAAGAGCGCGCCAAUUUGAAUAAGAGAAGCGCUAGCGACACACCACGCUGGCCGUCGAUGGGGCCACGUGUCGCGAGAUUAAGGAAGGAAGCCCAAACGUUAAAAGAGUAGCACGUGAGGUGGCACGUGAUGCGGUCCCACUUGCCACGUGGACCAAGGGCACGACCACUUAGUCUCUUCGCCGAGAACGAGUUCUCGACUCGAGACUGGGGGCUUGUGAUCCGAUCGGUCAUCGGUCGUNNNNNNNNNNNNNNNNNNNNNNNNNNNNNNNNNNNNNNNNNNNNNNNNNNNNNNNNNNNNNNNNNNNNNNNNNNNNNNNNNNNNNNNNNNNNNNNNNNNNNNNNNNNNNNNNNNNNNNNNNNNNNNNNNNNNNNNNNNNNNNNNNNNNNNNNNNNNNNNNNNNNNNNNNNNNNNNNNNNNNNNNNNNNNNNNNNNNNNNNNNNNNNNNNNNNNNNNNNNNNNNNNNNNNNNNNNNNNNNNNNNNNNNNNNNNNNNNNNNNNNNNNNNNNNNNNNNNNNNNNNNNNNNNNNNNNNNNNNNNNNNNNNNNNNNNNNNNNNNNNNNNNNNNNNNNNNNNNNNNNNNNNNNNNNNNNNNNNNNNNNNNNNNNNNNNNNNNNNNNNNNNNNNNNNNNNNNNNNNNNNNNNNNNNNNNNNNNNNNNNNNNNNNNNNNNNNNNNNNNNNNNNNNNNNNNNNNNNNNNNNNNNNNNNNNNNNNNNNNNNNNNNNNNNNNNNNNNNNNNNNNNNNNNNNNNNNNNNNNNNNNNNNNNNNNNNNNNNNNNNNNNNNNNNNNNAAAUAUCCUAAGUUACUCCGUAAGGGUGUAACUUAGGCACACAAAGAGAAGCGCUAGAGCCCUUCCAGUAAGUGACACGUGUGUGGUUAGAUGUGAGUUGCAGGCCUCCACGUGUCAUCAUCUGAGAGGGGUGCGGUCCAGACAAAAGUGCACUCCGUACCGCUAAAGGUACAGACAGGCGCAGCCAAGCGCAGAGACGCGCAAACAUGCACAGACUCUCACGCUCCCACUGCUGAUUCUGAAGGUACGCUUUCUCUGAAAAGCAUAACAGGGUUCUGACAUAUGCCAGAAAAGCAUAACAGAAUUUUGUUAUGCCCAGAAGCAGGGAAAGAGACAUAAAAGAGAGAAUCAGGGGGAGAGUGAAAAAAAAAAGAAUAGAGAGCAAGAGUUUCACACACACUACUAGUUUUCUCAUUCGGUGGUUCUGUGGACUAACUUGAUCGUCGGAGUGCAAACGGCCGCCAGAGGCGCCGUCUGUGUGUUUUGCAGGGCACAUUUGGAGAUCCAAGAGAAGGUUCUGAGGGUGAUUCUGCAGAAGACGCAGUCGCGUAGACAGGGCAGAGAGUGCUACGAAGCGAUUCCUCCACGCUCGAGUUGCCGGCAGGAUCAGUUGCAAAAUUACGGGCCUACCACCAUUUAGCGCUAACUAAAGCUGAUAAGACAAUCAAAAGCAACUUGGAGGCUAGACUCAUUGAGCUAAUAAUGAGCAAAUUCAAAAUUAUUCAAGUAUGUAUUUAAUUACAUAUAACAGUUGUUGUAAAAAAUUUCCAUCUUAUAUAACUACCUAAUCAAACUUUUGGCUAUUUAUUUCAGUUUGUCACCGAAACUGUUAUUACUAUCAUACAAUUGAUUAUAUGAUCAAGCUUGUCAAGGAACAAAUUCAAAAUAAAGAUUAAAGUGUAAUUGAAUUUAGGAAGCGUCUACUUCCCAGUUCUUACAAAAGGGAGAAUUUUAUAAGUUGUGUUGGUGUGCAUUUGAGGAGGAUAUCUGCAUUUUAUCUUCAAUGCCCUUGUUCUUGAAGAGAAAAUGUUAUAAUUGUUUUUAUUAAAGUAGUGUUUAUUGUAUUUAACUAUAACUAGCAUUUUAUCUUCUCACAAUUUUAGGCACACAUUUUUGGUCAUGCAUUGGCUGGUUACAUUUUUGUACAUCUGAGGCAGUGUUUGGUUUUUGGAAUUUUGAUGUUUUAUUUGUAAUAAUUAGUUUUUAUUUUAUGAACUAAAUACGUGUGCAAAAUGGAUUACGAUGUCAUUUAAUCUUUCAUAUUAAGAGGAUACAUAACUAACUCUAACAUUAUUUUGUUAGAAUUGAUCUCAAUUCAAACAUAUUAGCAAAAUUGAUCUACCUAACAAGUUUUUGUCGCAUAUUCAUUUUAUUUAGAUCAAAAUCAUUUUAUUUAGAUACAAUUAUCAAGGAAGUUUGUUGUUCCAUAUUUUGACUUCUCUUCCAUAUUGUUGCUCGAACACAACAGGUAAUCUCCUAUGUAUAGCCGAAAAAAUGACUUAGCAGUAUAAAAGAUCUUUUAAAACAAGGAUUAAACGUUCACUCCAAAGUUCAUCGUACAAUAAUCCAAAUGGUUAUGGCAGAAAAUCAUGUGGAAAUGGUUUAGUUGCUUCUCAUGAAUGGUUCAUAUGUAUCUCAUGUAGAUAAUUAUGAAUUUUAUUCAUCCACCUUGACUGAAAUGCUAAAUAAUUGUGAAAUUGGAUGUUGAAUUAAUGUAAUUGAUUUAAUGCCCAGUGAAGUUGUAUUAAAGGGGAAACAUCAAGAGGAAGAACAUAUUGAAAUAAAGAAGAUAUUGUUGAUGGGUGGCGGCUAGUUGCUGGAGGUAUUCUUGUAUAGAUCUACCUCAGUUGUGAGAUGAUAGAUAUAUAUGUAUGUAUCUUCAUUCUUUUUCAUACAAAUAUCAUCAUCUUUCAUUCUCUUAUGAUUUAUACUCACUUUCAGAUGAUCCAUUCAUAAAAGAAUGGGAUGACUCUUUUAUCCAUAAAAUGACUUUAAUGAGGGUUUGAAAAAACCUAGAAGUGAUGGGGAUUUUGAAAAUCCCUAGAAGUAGUGGGGGUUUGGAAAACCCUUGGAAGUGACGGGGUUUUGGAAAACCCUGGUAGUAACAGAGUUUGGAAAACCCCUGGAAGUGGCAGAGGUUUACAAAACCGUUAAAAAAUAAUUAUCUUUUUAGGGGUUACUAAAAACUGUCGGUAGUUCGUUAACGCCGCUGGAUGUUCUAGAGGAAAAACAAACCCCGAGUAACACACUUAAUGGAUUAAAACCGUCGAAAACGUUAAAAAUAACCAUCAUUAAAAAUAAUUUUUCUUGUAGUGAUUAUAUCUUUGGUCACGAUAAACUUAAAAUUUCUUUUAAACUUUUUUAGUCAUUGAUUCUACCACUACUAAUUGUUAAUACAAUAUAAUGAUUAUAAAAAAUAAAUAAAUUAAAUUUGUAACAUUUAGGACUAAGAACCUUCAAUCAAAUCACCCGUAAACAUUAAUUAAACAUAAAAAUUAAGAGGAUGAUUAGAAGAAAAAAAAAUGUAAAGGUCAGAAAAUUCACUGAGAAAAUUAUAUUAAUAUCUAGGAAUUAGAUAUAUUUUUAUAAAUAAGUUGACCUAGAAUAGAUACACAUUUAUUAAACAUUAAGGUGAGGAGUUAUAGUUUUUUUAACUUGUGUGAAACCAUUUUUCCUUACUUAAAUUUGUAUUGCCAAAUCUAAAAAUACAUCACUGUUUUAUAUCCUCGAAGAAAUUCAAGUAACAGUAAGAUGUAGCAUUCUUAAUAUUUAUUGUAGUUUAUAUUUGUUUCACCCACUUUUUUUUUUUAUAGUGUAUAAAGGAAUUAUUCGAAAUAGUAAUUAAUAUCCGUGAUUUCGUUGAAAAUUUUAAAAAUAUAUAAUAAGUAUUCUGCUUUUAAUAUUAUUUGUUUUGUUUAAAAUGAUACUACUUAUGACAGACAAUACAUAUUUGGUGCAGAAUAAUUUACUUGGAUUUAGGACCACUGAUCACACUUGAGACAGGUAAGCGAUAAAAAUAUGGAAUGAUAAAAAAUUUGCUGUAAUUAAAAUAUGGAAAAAUAAAAAAUUUGAAUGAUAAAAUUCACAAAAUAAUAAUAAUUAAGUCAUAAAAUAUGUAAUUAAGUUUAUUAAUUUGUAUAUAUAAAAUAGUAUUCAUAGUGUAUUUUUCAAAACUAAUUCUAAAAAACAAUUCUAUGAAGUAUAUCUUUUCAAAAUCAAAAUUUCAAUUAUUCACAUUUUACUAAGAAUUUAUAUAUCACUUAAAACAACGUGUUAUUGUCUAGGUGAGUUCAUAGUUGUGUGUAAUCAUUAUAUUAAUUGUUUCUUAUAUUAGGUGAUUUAUUGGUUAUUUAAGCAAGGUGGAGUAUAAAUUAAGCAAUGGUUUGUAGUUUGAGGAGACAAAAAGCUAGGACAGUUUUCUUUCAUUUGAAAAAGUAUGGUUUCAAACAUUAGACAGAUGUUAAAGCGCCAAGAUUUAUUGGUUGUUUUGAACACGUGUUGUAACAUGUGCCAACGUGUGAUAUGUGUAUUGGGUGUUCAAACAUCCCGUGGUUAAGUCCUCACAAACUUCUUAGAUGAUGUUUUAAUAUGUGGUUGUUGUUUAAGUGUUGGGCUAGAACAGUCAAGCGACAAAUACUUAAACAAUGAGAUAAUCUUUGGAGUGAUAGGAGACCCUUUGACAAGGAAAACAAUGAAACAACAACUAAAAAUACUAAAACAUACUAUGAAAAUAAUUUUUUAAACUUGUAAAAAUCUUUGAGGAGCUAGAAAAUGAGAACAAUCACAAAAUAAAACAAUCACAAAAUAAAAGACAUCAAUAUUUUGAAUGUAGAAGAAAGAAUUCUAUCAGAAGUAAAAAUCUAAAGACACAAAAUAGUCAAUCAAGCUUCACUAACAUCAAAUAUAAAUAUAAGAGUAUCAUAUCAAAUGUACAAACAAGUGAUUAUAACUAGUCACACAUAUUAAAGUAAUAAAUGUUUUCAAAUGAAGAAAAAAAAAAUAAAUCUAAAAUAGAACAAAAGUGUAAAACUGAUUUCUCCAACCUAAAACUUCCAAUGGAAGAUCCAACCAUCAAAAUGAAGAUUAAUAUAUGGUAAAUCUCCAAUUUUCAAUCCAACCGAGCAAAUCAGGAAUCAUAAUUUUAUUGAAGCUCCUUCGUAAAUAUGUUAACUAGUUUUUUUUUUUGGUCUUUUUUUUUUGUCUCUGCCAAAGGUUAUGGAAAAUUAGCACUCUCUCUUGAUCUAAAAGAUCUUUGCCAAACUAGAACUCUCUUUACAAACUUGAUCAAAUAGCAUAAAAUGAAUUUUAAGAAAUCAAUGUCCCUAGCCAUAUGAGCAUAUAUGAAUUGGAUAACCAGGAACAAAAUCACAAAUCACUGACCGAAAUUUAUAUAUUAACAACAGUUUUUAUCUUUCAGUAUUUAAUAAUAAAUCACUCGUUACCAGUACCUAUAAAAUAUACUAAUAUUUUAGUUCAUACAAUAUAAAGGAUAAGUGUUUAUUCUAUAGAAUUAAGUUUAAUGUAAAAUUAAAUAGGUUUAAUUAGUUUUUUUAAUUCUUGAAAUUUAAUAUAAAUUCGGUUUAAUUUCUUAAAUUUAGAAAGUUAUUGUUUAGUCCCUAAAAUAUUAAAAUUGAAGGCUUAAAAACGAUUUUGAAAGAAAUUAUUUCAGUCACUCAAAUUUAAUAUUUUGGAACAGAAAUCACGUUUUCUAAAAAUAUAAGGGGCUAAAAUAAACAUUUUAAAUUUGAAGAUCAGGAAUCAUAUUUUUCUUUAAAGGAUUAUAAAUAUAAUUAAUAUUAUUAUUAUUAAAUAAUAAAAUUAUAUAAAUUUUGUAAACAUAUAUACGCUAUAUUUUACAUAGUUAUGGUUACUAAUAUAUAUUUUAUACAAUAUUAGUUUGUAUUAUUAGUGACCUUUUAGGAAAUAUAAAAAAACUGAUCUAAAAAUGAAGAUAAAAAGUAGAUUUAAAAAGUUAAGAAACAUUUUAAAAGUAGUAUCACUGAAGAAAAUUCUUAAAAAUGUUACAUUGAACUUAUAAAUAUUGUCGUUUAAUAAAAAUGUAGUAUGUGAUUUUUCAUUCAAUUAUGGGUAAAUGUAAUUGGCAUCUGGUUCGGGUCGGGUCGGGUCGGGUAGGUUAUGGCUGCCCAACGAAGAAGAAUAAAAAAAAAAAUUUAAUUUCUUACACAAAGACAAUUAUACCAAACAAUAGUUAGUGUUUGACUUUUUUUAGGACAUCUAGAAAAGAAUUCAAUAGUGUUGAUAAAAGAAAGGAAGAGAAGAAAAUCAGAAAAAAAAACCGGUUUUUGCUAAAUACAUAGGCUUACUUAUAUUGAUAUAAAGAAAAAAUUAAAAAAUAUUAUUAUAGAUCUGACAUCUAAUAUAAUUUAUUAAUUAAAGAAGUAAGUAAUAUAUUUUAACACACUAGUUUCAUUCGCUUAAUAUUUUAAAAAAAUAUUAUUUUAGCAUAAAUAAUAUUUUAUUUAAAAAAAGUUGUACGGUUAAAAGAACUUUAUCAUUCGUAUGAUGUUUCCAGAUAUUUGCCAGGGAAUUGGGUAACGCUGAAAACUCAGCUCAUCAAUAAUUAAAGUCAUUGUUUGGAUAUCACGUAAAGCAUAUCUGGAAUUUAUUUCUUUAUUUAUAUUACUUUUAUAUAAAAUCCUUUAAAGUGGGUAUAGAAUAAUCUUUGUCCAAGCCUACCUGGUCCCAAGGGUAUCUAAUCACUGCUAUUAUUGAAUAUUUAAUAUAUGAUUUAUUUUUAUUUUAAAUAUAACUUUUUCAAAUUAAUUUUUUUUAUAUAAAUUCCUUUAUUUCUUCUUUCUUCUUUCUCAUCGUUUUCUGUCUUUUUCUCUACUCCCUUGUCCAAACACAUUUAUAUGUAUUUGAAAAUAUUAACAUUUUUAAUAAAAUAUUAUUGAUAAAAAACGACAUAAAAAUAGUUAAUGUGGGACUUUUAACAGUCAGAAGAAAAUUCUGAUUUGAAUUACUUGAAUUUGCUUGGCGGCAAAGAAACUUCAAGGUCAGAGACUCUUAUUAAUUUGACCAACUAUUUGUAGUAUGAACUCAGUGAACUAUAUAAGUCGAAAACGGAGUUCAACUUUACAACCCACCAUUUGUUUUUUAAAUUCAUUCAUUCAUUCAUCGCACUGUUGCUGUUGCUUACUACUACUAGGUAUCUUCCCAACUCACAAAUUGCUUCAGCUUCUUCUCCAAAAAGGUUCAUUUCUUUUUCUCUGCAUUUAGUAAACUCACGGAAAGCCAAAAAAAGUUAUAUGCUGAAACGUGUUUGAAGUUUACAACGACCGUGAACUUAAAAAUUUGACAUUCAACCAUCAUCUUCUUCUCAAACUCAAUGUACACACAACAAACCAGGAAACUAAACAAAAAAAGAAAGAUAAUGAGCAUGAUGGAAGGCACUGUGUGUUGUGUGUUUCUCAUUUGAAUUAAUGCAUUUCCUGCAGCUGUUUUAGGUUUGCAAUCAUUGGUGGAGGGGUUCGUAAGCAAAAGGAGUCUUUCCCUAUUGAAAUGGAAGGGGAUACCAGUUUGAACGGGGUUACCAACAACAAUCAGGAAUCAAAGUCGAGGGAGUCCAAAGAUGAACCCACCAAAUCAGUACCAUUAUACAAGCUUUUCUCCUUUGCUGAUUCUUUGGAUUACUUGUUGAUGUUGGUGGGCACUGUGGGUGCUAUUGGGAAUGGAGUCUCCAUGCCCUUGAUGACUUUGAUAUUUGGAGACAUGAUCGAUGCAUUUGGAGGAACCAGUAGUAACACAGACGAUGUUGUUGAUGAAGUUUCCAAGGUACUUUCUCACCAAUCCCUUUUACUAUCACUAGUCCAUAUUUUUGAAAUAGUAUCCUUGUUAAAAGUCGGAAAUAAACAUUUUCAAUGGAUUACUCUGUUCAGGUGUCUCUGAAAUUUGUAUACUUGGCUGUGGGUACCUUCGCUGCAUCACUUUUGCGUGAGUACAUCGGGUUAUACGUUUUUAUGAUCUAAAUAGUUAGAUUCUGACAAUAUGAUCAACCUCUCAAGAAACUUUGUUUACUAUGUACCAGAGUUGGCAUGCUGGAUGAUCACUGGAGAGAGACAAGCUGCAAGAAUUAGAGGCUUAUACCUUCAAACAAUUCUGAGGCAAGAUGUGACCUUCUUUGAUCAAGAGACUAGUACUGGAGAGGUUAUUGGAAGGAUGUCAGGUGAUACUGUUCUUAUUCAAGAUGCCAUGGGUGAGAAGGUAUUAACGAACCAUCCUUUUUCUUUUAGCUAUAAAAAAAAACAGAAAACAAAAGAGUUUUAGUUUAAGGUUAUUUAAUUGGUUUUCUCCCCUUUGAUACCAGGUGGGCCAGUUUAUUCAGUUAAUGGCAACUUUCAUUGGAGGGUUUGUUAUAUCAUUCAUCAAGGGAUGGCUUCUAACUGUUGUCAUGCUAUCUUGUAUUCCACUUCUUGUCUUGGCCGGGGCUAUGAUGAGCCUGGUUAUUACAAGAGCGUCAUCCAAGGGACAAGCUGCUUAUUCCACAGCUUCAAGUGUUGUAGAGCAGACAAUUGGUUCUAUCCGAACUGUACGCACACAGGCUAAAACAAACUCUUCAUUUUUUCGUUUAGUUAUUGCUGAUAUAUAAAUCACCUUUAUCUCUCUAAUGCAGGUUGCAUCAUUCACUGGGGAGAGGCUAGCAAUAGAUAAAUACAAUCAGUCCUUAAUCAAGGCUUACAUGAAUGGAGUGCAGGAGGCACUAGCUUCUGGUUUCGGUUUUGGUGCGCUAUACUUUGUCAUUAUCUGCAGUUAUGGUUUGGCUAUUUGGUUUGGCGCUAAAAUGAUAAUCGAGAAAGGAUACAAUGGAGGAGAGGUUGUGACUGUAAUAUUUGCUGUAUUGACUGGCUCCAUGUAAGUUGUGUGUUUCUUUUGUUUCUACUGACCUAUAAUUUCAAAAAAUUGAUUCCCUCUCCCUUUCCCUAUCCAAGAACUCCGCGGAGUUAGACAUAGAGUAUGUAUUCCUGCCUAACUCUAUUUGGAUUCCCAGGUCUCUUGGGCAGGCAUCUCCAAGCUUGAGUGCUUUUGCUUCAGGACAAGCUGCAGCCUUUAAGAUGUUUGAAACAAUUAAAAGGAAGCCAGAAAUUGAUGCAUAUGACACUAAUGGUCGGAGGCUUGAAGACAUUCGUGGCGAUAUAGAGCUUAGGGAAGUUUGCUUUAGUUAUCCUACAAGAUCUGAUGAACUGAUAUUCAAUGGAUUUUCCCUUUCAAUACCAAGUGGCACUACUGCAGCUUUGGUGGGACAAAGUGGGAGUGGGAAAUCCACAGUUGUUAGUUUGAUAGAGAGAUUUUAUGAUCCACAGUCUGGUGCAGUACUUAUUGAUGGUAUCAAUCUCAAAGAAUUUCAACUGAAAUGGAUUAGACAGAAAAUUGGCUUAGUCAGCCAGGAACCAGUUCUCUUUACUUGUAGCAUUAAAGAGAAUAUUGCCUACGGCAAGGAUGGAGCAACUGAUGAAGAAAUCAGAGCUGCGGUAGAACUUGCUAAUGCUGCCAAAUUUAUAGAUAAACUACCUCAGGUGAGUUCGCAAACCUCAUUUAGAUAUAGAAACUGAUUCAUGAAUUCGUCCUUAGCAGUUUGAAAGCUUUUCUUCCUUUCUUUGUCAGGAAUAUUUUUAUCUUCAUGUUGUACAAGAUAAAAUAAAAAGUUUCUUCUAUCUUAUUAUUAAAGGGUCCUUUCACCUCAAUGACUUUUUAUGAUUUAUGAAUUUAGGGACUAGAUACAAUGGUUGGUGAGCAUGGAACUCAGCUCUCUGGGGGUCAAAAGCAGAGAGUGGCAAUAGCAAGAGCAAUUUUGAAAGACCCAAGAAUCCUACUUCUGGAUGAAGCUACAAGUGCCCUUGAUGCUGAAUCUGAGAGAAUUGUACAAGAGGCAUUGGACAGAAUAAUGAUAAACAGAACAACUGUCAUUGUUGCCCACCGCUUGAGUACUAUAAGGAAUGCCGAUACCAUUGCUGUUAUUCAUCAAGGAAAAAUAGUUGAAAGAGGUAAUAGAAAGCUAUCUUUUUCAUAACUUAAAUUUUUUGGAGGCUUAUAAAAAUUUAAAACCUGUUGUUUAUAUUCCUCAUUACAUGACUAUACGCAAAAAUUGAUCAGGUUCACACGAUGAACUCACCAAGGAUCCCGAAGGAGCCUAUAGCCAGCUCAUCAGACUACAAGAAAUUAAGAAGUCAGAACAGAACGCAGAAGACAGAGAAAAACAAGAGAGUAUAUCGCUUUCGGGAAGGCAUUCAAGUAAAAGGUCUUCUUUCUUACGAUCUAUAAGCCAAGAGUCACUGGGAGUUGGAAACAGUGGUCGUCAUUCAUUCUCAGCAUCAUUUGGCGUGCCCACAUCUGUUGGGUUUAUAGAACCCGUUGGUGAAGGGCCUGAAGACCAUCCUACACCAUCUCCUUCACCACCAGAAGUGCCUUUCCGUCGCCUGGCUUACCUGAACAAGCCAGAGUUUCCAGUGUUAUUCAUGGGGACUGUAGCUGCAAUGCUAGCUGGAGCAAUAUUACCUGUUUUUGGACUAUUACUCUCCAAAAUGAUAAGUAUUUUCUAUGAGACAGAUCAUGAUGAACUUCGUAAAGAUUCAAAAGUUUGGGCAUUAGUAUUUGUUGCUAUUGGUGUGGUGUCACUCCUGGUUUAUCCGGCUAGAUUCUACUUUUUUGGUGUUGCUGGUGGCAAGUUGAUCCAAAGGGUCCGGAAAGCAUGUUUUGAGAAAGUAGUUCACAUGGAGGUAAGCUGGUUUGAUGAAGCAGAGAAUUCCAGUGGAGCAAUUGGAGCAAGGCUCUCUACUGAUGCAGCUUCCAUUAGAGCUUUGGUUGGGGAUGCACUUGGUUUGCUAGUUCAAAAUAUUGCCUCAGCAAUAACUGGAUUGGUAAUUGCCUUUGAAUCAAGCUGGCAGCUUGCUCUUAUAAUCCUUGUUAUGGUGCCUCUACUUGGACUAAACGGAUUUCUGCAAGUCAAGUUCUUGAAAGGAUUCAGUGCAGAUGCAAAGGUUUGUUCCUGACUUCUACUACGCCAUCACCAACUAAAAUUUUAAACAAAUUAUAUGAAAAUAUGUGUUCUGAACUUGUGGUGAGGUGAAGUGAUAAUUAUGAAUAUAUGUAAAUUCAUUUCUUUAAACAUUUUUUGCAUUAUAGUACUAGGACUGAAAAAAAAUGUACUGUGUUAGAGGAUGGAUCAACAACGUUACAAGCAUAUGCUCAGUAUGCAUUUUUUGCUUAGCUAUAUGUUAUGAUAUUGAUAUUCUAUAUGCCCACAGAAAUUGUACGAGGAAGCAAGUCAAGUGGCGAAUGAUGCUGUGGGGAGUAUAAGAACAGUUGCUUCUUUCUGUGCUGAAGAUAAGGUGAUGGAGUUAUACCGAGGAAAAUGCGAAGGACCAAUUAAGACGGGCAUAAGGAAAGGGAUAAUAAGUGGAAUUAGUUUUGGUAUAUCAUUCUUUGUGCUGUACGCAGUUUACGCAACAAGUUUUUAUGCCGGAGCUCGACUGGUAGAGGACGGCAAAACAUCAUUCUCAAAUGUUUUCCGGGUAAGUGUCUCUCCUAACAGUUCACCCUAAACCCUCUGCACAAGGUUUCUAACAGGUUGGCUUUUUCUGGCAUUGACGAUUUUCUCUCCCAAUUUGCAGGUCUUUUUUGCUCUCAGUAUGGCGGCUAUAGGAAUCUCUCAAUCUGGCUCUUUGGCCCCUGAUUCAGCCAAAGCAAAAAGUGCUGCUGCUUCCAUAUUUUCCAUUAUUGACCGAAAAUCACAAAUAGACCCAAGUGAUGACUCUGGAAUAACAUCGGAAGAAGUGAAGGGAGAGAUUGAGCUUAAGCAUGUGAGUUUCAAGUAUCCUACAAGACCCGAUGUUCAAAUAUUCAGAGAUCUUAGCUUGACCAUUCGUAGCGGCAAGGUAACCUUCUAAUUUAAACAUCUUGUCUUCUUCACUACUCUAAAUUGUUCUUCCUAAACUAGUAGAUUGAUUGACUAUGCUGAUAAAAUAAACAGACAGUUGCGCUGGUUGGAGAAAGUGGAAGUGGAAAAUCAACUGUGAUCUCAUUGUUACAAAGAUUUUAUGAUCCAGACUCCGGUCACAUUACACUGGAUGGAAAAGAAAUUCAAAGCAUUCAAGUUAAAUGGCUAAGACAGCAGAUGGGCCUAGUGAGCCAAGAGCCGGUGCUGUUUAAUGACACCAUCCGAGCCAAUAUUGCAUAUGGAAAAGGAGACGCAACUGAGGCUGAAAUUAUAGCUGCAGCAGAAUUGGCAAACGCGCAUAAGUUCAUAAGUAGUUUGCAGAAGGUAAAUUAUUGACUCUCUCUCUUUUUGAUAAUUUAUUAACUCAAUCUCUAGUAGUUCAACUAUAGUAUUUUAAAAGUUCUGAAUUAGUGCAAGUUAUGUUGACAACAUAUAUUACAAAUGCAGGGUUAUGACACGGUGGUAGGGGAGCGAGGAGUUCAAUUAUCUGGGGGGCAGAAGCAGCGGGUGGCAAUAGCACGAGCUAUAGUAAAGAAUCCAAAAAUAUUACUACUAGAUGAAGCCACAAGUGCACUUGAUGCUGAGUCUGAGAAAGUGGUUCAGGAUGCACUUGACCGUGUUAUGGUGGACCGAACCACAAUAGUAGUGGCUCAUAGGUUAUCCACUAUUAAGGGUGCUGACGUAAUUGCUGUAGUUAAGAAUGGGGUGAUAGCAGAGAAGGGAAAGCAUGAAGUAUUACUCAGGAAGGGAGGUGACUACGCUUCUUUAGUUGCAUUGCACACAAAUGCUUCUACAUCUUAGUUCCCUUUCAACUUAGUUCCAACCAAAUUUUUGUCCUUCUCUCCCAUGCCUUUAGUUAUAUUAUAUGUCAAUAUGUAAGAUAAUAUUCCUUCUUGAAAGAAAUAAUGGAAUAAUGUGUUUAUCUUGUUCAGGAAAUGGUUCUUGUAACUCAUUUAUAUCACUUUACAUGAAGAUAUAUCUUUCACAAAAUUUGGUUUCUUGUUUACUGUGCACAACAUAUGUGCUUGAUAAAAAGUUGAUGUGCAAAUAUUAAACUCUUUCGUUCAUGUAGUUCUUGAAGAUUGAAACAUUACGAGGAAUAUCGAAAUCCUUAGGUAUGAGAAAUUCAAGGACAUACUAACAUAGUAAACCUUAAUUUUAAUUAGAAAAGAUGAUGAAAGAAGUGCACCAUUGACUAUAGUAGAAUUCGAAACCUAUAAUGUAUUUUUUUUAUACUUUUACCCGAAAAUAACCUUGCAUUUUGCUUGCAUAGAGAAUUAGUCAUUAAAAAAACUAAUCAACAAAAUUUGUCUUUCCAACAAUGUCUCACUUUUAAUAAAGAAGAUAAUAUAAAAAAGAGAUGCAUCAAUUUUGAAAAUACCAAUAACUUCAAAUUCUUACCUUUUAAAUAAGAUUUGAAAUAAUUUAAUUGCUCUCAUAAUUUUUAAAAAAAAAUUCCUUAAUCAUAAAAUAUUUUAAAUUCUUCCUUUUAAUUUCUUAAAAUUGCGAGUCUAAAAGAUGAUGUGUGGUUCUUUUAGGUCCAUAUUAUACUUUUUAACACGUGAAUCCUUAUCUCAUUAUGAAUUCACAUGCAAUGAAGUGGCUUGGUUGUAGUUAUGAUUACAUAUUUUCAACCAAUUAGUUGCAGAUAAAGUGAGGAGUUUGGUGGAUGCAGUUUUUCAUUGAAGUCAUAUUUUGGUACAUCACUUCCUUCUAUUUUUUCAAACAAACCUAAUUUAUGCAUCUCAAUCUUAAUACACAAGUAAUUCAAGGCUUGGCUUAGUUUUCUUUUUUGUGCGUCAAAAUAUACUUCUAUGACCUAUUCUAGAAGCUUUAGUAGGUUCUCAAAAUGUUUGACUUGGUGAAACUAAAUUAACAUGAAUUUUGUAAUUAAUUUUGUUAUUAGUAUGACAAAUGUUCCUGCUAGGGAGAUGGGACCUAGAGAACUAUUGAAGUCUUCUUCUCCUUCCUUUGGUCGGUCAGGUGACUGGGUGGUGAGCUGAGAUUCUCUUCGUCCUCCUGCUUCUCUUUCGGCCCUCGGCCUCGGCUGAACACCGGAUGGUGGGGUACCUGCAAAGGCACUCCAACGCUCAAGUCAGUAAAGCGGGUGGUCAGCUCUCAAGUAGGUGAACAGUAAUAAAUGACAUACCUUGCUCCUUGGGAUGCGUGCUAUUUAUAUUAUUGUAAUGGGUCUACCUUGUUGGGCCCGUUUAUCGAGGUGGAUACCGCUUAGGGUUGCAUUACCUAAUUCUUGAUGAUGGAUUAGCUUCACUGAUCUCGAUUUGAGUGUUAAUUGUAAUAGGGUUCGGCCGUCGGCCAAGCUCCCAUGGUAUGGGUCGGCCAUCGGCCAAAUCCUUGUGGUCUUUGCCGCCUCGGCCAAGUUUUCUGAGGUCUCGGCCAAGUGGGUCAUCGACCUCGUCAUCCGGCCAAACUUCUUAAGUCUCAGCCAGAUUCUGGUUUCGGCCAAGUGGACUCGGCCUCAAGCAUCCAGGUGGGCAUCGGCCUCGCCCAUACCAGUACAACAAAAAAAUAUAAAUUUUACAAAAUUAAAGGUUAAGUGACUUUUCCUUUAAAUUAUCCAAAGAACACUCAAUCACAGUAAAUAAGGUACUGUUCUGUUUACUCUGUAUGUCCAACAUCUCAGCAAUAUAUGACGCAUAACAUUACAUAUAUGGAGAACUAUGCUUUUACAAUCCUUAGAAUUAUAUUUAUGAAGAGUUUAAAAAACAAAUAUAUAUAAUAAAAAUAAAUUUAAAUAAUUAAAUGAUAUGAAAAAAUAUUAAAAUAAUAAUGUUAAAAUUGAUAAUAUAGUUAUAUAAAAGAUGUGGAUUAUCAAUAAAUGUAUAUAUAUAGUUGUUAGAGUAAACAAACUAAAAAGGUCUAGUUGGCCGAAUGUUUAAAUUUUGUUUGAAUAAAAUUCUUUUUAUAGGAAAAAGAAAAUUAAUAUUUUUUAAAAAUAAAAUUAGUUUUUGUACAAGUUAAAUUUAAUUUUAAAAACUAAAAUGCGAUAACGUCUACAAAAUAAUUUAAUUUAUAAAAUAAUUUUUAUUUUUAUUUUUCAAUAAAUGUUUACGAAAAUAUCAAAAAAAAUUAUAGUACAAGAUUGGAGAUUUAUCAGGAUGAAUCCCGUCGUUACAAAAUUUAUGAAGGAACGGAAGAACUAAUUAUACGAAUAUUCUCCAUACUUAAUAAUGUAUUUAAUCGCUACAGCGUAAGGUAAUACUAAUUUUGAUCUCCCAAAUUUAAUAAAAUUAUUGAAAAUUGAAAAAAAAUAAACUUUAUAUUCGAUUUUAGUUUAUUUAAAAUUAGCUUUUAUUUUAACUUUUAUAGAAUUUUUCUUUAUUCAUCUUAAAAAAAAUUAAAACCAUUUUUUUAAAUUUUGAUUUUAAUCUUUCUAAAAUGUUUAUAUUUAAUUUUAAUCUUUCUAAAAAUUUAAAAUUAUUUUUAGUCUUUAAUAUUCAUUGUAAGAUAGAUGAGUAAUAUUUAUUUUACCAAUCUUAAAAAUAUCUUUGAAUUUCAUAUACCAGUAAAGUAUUACAACACUAUUUCAUUAUAUGAAAGAUAAUUAAUAUUAUAUAAUAUUACAAACUAAAAUUAAUAAUUUUUUAAUUUUAGAAAAAAAAAUAUUUUAAAGAACAAAAUAACAAUUUAAUGUAGACUAAAAAUGUGUUUAAGCCAAAAUAUUAUUUUAGUUCCUGACCAUAAAAUAAAUUUUUAGAUUAUUUUUUAAUUCUCUAUAUUUAAUGUUUAGAAAUUAAGAUUACAUUUUAUAUAAUUUAAAAGAUUAAAAUAAACUAUAUUUAAUUAAAGACAUUUAAAAAGAUCUAUUCCAAAUUUAAAGAAUUAAAGACAUGUGUUUUCCUUCUCAACGUACAAUCUCUUGCGUAUGUCUCCCCUUACUUCAUCAGUCCCUUUCAAAGGGCAAAAUAAAUAAAUAUAUAUAUAUAUAUAUAUAUAUAUAUUAUGUACUAUAUUAAAAUUCGUAUUUGACAGUGAUUUAUAGUUAAGGAAAUGAUAAAAUGCAGUUUUGGUCAAAAAGAUGACGAGUGGUGAUAAGACAUUUAUUUUCUUAAGAAAAUAAAAUAAUCUUAACUUCAACACUAUACGUAUAAUUUGAUUUGGUCUACACAGCUAAAAAAAUAUAAUUUCUUAAUAGAAUUUGUUUAACUUGCGGGAGAAGAAAUUGCUGUUCUUUUCUUUUACCCUUUAUUAAAAAAAUAAAAAAAGUCUAAUUUUCAAGGUAAGAUGCCAAUAAUUUAGAAGUUGGGGAAUUAAAUUGAAAACUUGAUAUUGAUAGAGGAAUGAAACUAGAGCAAUUAAGUAGGAAAAGGGAAAAACAACAACAUACUUUUGUUGAUUCAAAUUUAUAGUUUUUGAAAACUAAUGUUGUAGUGUAGGAACUAUCCAAGGUGGAACUUGGUUUUUCAACAUUAGUUGCAGCCUUUGUUCCACUUUUCAACUACUUAGUUGUGCUGCAUGUUAAAAGUAGUACAGAAUUUCUUCAGCUUUUGGUUGUGCAAAGUGUUCACUUGUUCUUUUGGUUUUUAUUAUACUGUUUACAGUGAUUGCUAAUCAGUAGAGAAGUGUAAAAAUUGUUCCAUCAAGAAAAUGGCAGAGGAAAUAGAGUUGAAUGGAGAUCCUAAAAGCAAGCAAGACUCAAAGAAGAGCGAGGCCAAAGAUGAACCCGCCAAAACAGUACCCUUAUACAAACUUUUCUCAUUUGCUGAUCCUUUGGAUCAUUUAUUGAUGUUUUUGGGGACUGUUGGUGCUUUUGGGAAUGGAAUCUCCUUGCCCUUGAUGACUCUGAUAUUCGGAAAUAUGAUCAAUGCAUUUGGAGGUAACAAUAACUCCAAAGAAAUUGUUGAUGAAGUUUCCAAGGUAAUUCUCCAUUAAUCCAAUUUACUAAUACUAAUACAUAUUGGUGAAGCUGGAAGUGUUUUCUUUUUCUGGGGGAGGUGGUAUGAAAUACACUACAUAGCAACUGUUUACUAUAGGAAUGGUAGUAACAACAUUCUCAGACUUGAUGCAUCGCAACAAAUUGCUGUGUUCAGGUGUCUCUGAAAUUUGUAUACUUGGCUGUCGGCACCUUUUUUGCAUCACUUUUGCGUGAGUAUGUCAUAUUGUCUGUUAUUUCUUACAAUCUAACUGAUUAGUAUGACUCAUUAUGACCCGAAAUGAAACCUUGUUUGCUAUGUAUCAGAGUUGACUUGUUGGAUGAUCACUGGGGAGAGACAAGCCGCAAGAAUUAGAGGCUUAUACCUUCAAACUAUUCUGAGGCAAGAUGUCACCUUCUUUGAUAAGGAAACAAGAACUGGUGAGGUUGUUGGAAGGAUGUCAGGUGAUACUGUUCUUAUUCAAGAUGCCAUGGGAGAGAAGGUAUUAACGAACCACUUACAACUCUAAGAUCAUCAUCUUUUUUAAGGUAAACUUCGUUCAUUGCUUUUCCCCUCCCUAUCAUUUCAGGUAGGACAGUUCUUGCAGUUCAUGGCAACUUUCGUUGGAGGUUUUGUAGUAGCAUUCAUCAGGGGAUGGCUUCUAGCUGUUGUCAUGCUAUCUACUAUUCCACCUCUUGCUUUCUGUGGUGCUAUGGUAGGCCUGGUUGUUUCAAAAGCCUCAUCCAGGGGACAAGAAGCUUAUUCUGUAGCAGCAAGUGUAGUGGAGCAGACAAUUGGUUCUAUCAGAACUGUAUGCACCCUGACUAAAAAACAACCUCUUUUUUUAUUUUAUUUUAUGUUGUUGAAUAUAUAACUGACUUCCAUUUAUCCAACAAAGGUUGCUUCAUUCACUGGGGAGAAGCAAGCUAUAACUAAUUAUAAUCAGUCCUUAAUCAAAGCUUACAAGGCUGGAGUGCAGGAGGCACUAGCUUCUGGUUUUGGGUUUGGUUCUCUCUACUUUGUUUUUACCUGCAGUUAUGGUUUGGCUAUAUGGUUUGGUGCAAAAAUGGUAAUAGAGAAAGGUUAUACAGGAGGACAGGUUGUGACAGUAAUGAUGGCUGUUUUGACUGGCUCCAUGUAAGUUGUGUGUGUUUCUCUUUCUCAGUGUGAACCUAUAAUUUCUAAAAUUGUUUCCCUUCCCCAAUCAGAAGGUAAUUAUACUAUUCUAUCUAACUAGAUUUCCAAUCCUAGGUCUCUAGGGCAGGCAUCUCCAAGCUUGAGCGCUUUUGCUGCUGGAAAAGCUGCUGCCUUUAAGAUGUUUGAAACGAUUAAGAGGAAGCCAGAAAUUGAUGCUUAUGACACUACGGGUCAGCAGCUUGAUGACGUUCGUGGAGAUAUAGAGCUUAGGGAGGUUUACUUUAGUUAUCCUACAAGACCAGAUGAACUGAUCUUCAAUGGAUUUUCUCUUUCAAUACCAAGUGGCACUACGACAGCUUUGGUAGGGGAAAGUGGGAGUGGGAAAUCCACAGUUGUAAGUUUGAUAGAGAGAUUUUAUGAUCCACUGUCAGGUGAAGUUCUCAUUGACAGUAUCAACCUCAAAGAAUUUCAACUGAAGUGGAUCAGACAGAAAAUAGGCCUAGUUAGCCAGGAACCAGUUCUCUUUACUUGCAGUAUUAAAGAGAAUAUUGCCUAUGGCAAGGAUGGUGCGAGUGAUGAGGAAAUCAGAGCUGCAGCAGAAGUAGCCAAUGCUGCCAAAUUUAUAGAUAAACUUCCUCAGGUCAACCCUUGAAUCUCCAUUUAAAAUGAAAAUAUGCACAGUAAUAAACAGUUUUAAAAGUUCGCUUCCUUUAUCAAGAUUAUCCUUUUCUGCAUAGCAUUUAGACUUAAGAAAAUUCUUCCUUCUACCAUUAUAUUGAACCUUCCUCUAACUUUGGUAAUUUUUUAUAACUAUGAAUGUAGGGACUAGACACAAUGGUUGGUGAGCAUGGAACUCAACUAUCUGGGGGUCAAAAGCAAAGAGUUGCAAUAGCAAGAGCAAUUUUGAAAGACCCAAGAAUCCUACUUCUGGAUGAAGCUACUAGUGCUCUUGAUGCUGAAUCUGAGAAAAUUGUGCAGGAGGCAUUGGACAGAAUAAUGAUAAACCGAACAACUGUCAUUGUAGCCCACCGCUUAAGUACUAUAAGGAAUGCUGAUAGCAUUGCUGUUAUUCAUCAGGGAAAAAUAGUUGAAAGAGGUAGGCAGAGCAUGCUGUAAUAAAGAUCCAAUUUUUCCACUACUCAAUUCUCAAAUGUUUGUAUACUUUAGUGUUAUAUUUUUCCAUGAUCAGGUUCACAUGCUGAGCUCACCAAAGAUCCUAACGGAGCCUAUAGCCAGCUGAUUAGAUUGCAAGAAAUUAAAGGAUCAGAACAAAAUGGUGAAAAUGACAGAGAGAAGCUAGAAAGUAUAGUGCACUCAGUGCACUCUGGAAGACAAUCAAGUCAAAGGUCUUUCUUAAGAUCUAUAAGCCAAAGAUCAUCAGGACUUGGAAGCAGUGGUCAUAACUCAUUCUCAGCAUCACAUGGUGUGCCAGUAUCAGUUGGCUUCUUGGAACCUGCAAGAGGAGAACCUCAAACACCUCCUCCUUCAACUUCACCACCGGAAGUGCCACUCUCUCGCCUGGCAUAUUUAAACAAGCCAGAGAUUCUAGUUUUACUGGCAGGGACUCUAGCUGCAGUAAUAAAUGGAGUUUUACUACCCAUUAUUGCAGUCUUUAUCUCCAAAAUGAUAACUAUUUUUUAUGAGCCACAUGAUGAACUUCGUAAAGAUUCAAAACUCUGGGCAUUGCUAUUUGUUGCACUUGGUCUGGUAUCAUUCACCAUGCUUCCAUGUAGAUUCUACCUUUUUGGUGUUGCUGGGGGCAAGUUGAUAAAAAGGAUUCGGAAAAUGUGUUUUGAGAAAGUUGUUCACAUGGAAGUUAGCUGGUUCGAUGAAGCAGAGCAUUCAAGUGGAGCAAUUGGAGCGAGGCUUUCUUCUGAUGCAGCUGCUGUUCGAGCUUUGGUUGGGGAUGCACUUGGUUUGCUGGUUCAAAAUGCUGCAACAGCUGUCGGCAGUUUGGUAAUUGCUUUUGAAGCAAGCUGGCAGCUUGCCUUUAUAGUGCUUGUUUUGGCACCGCUAUUAGGACUAAAUGGAUACGUGCAAUUUAAGUUCAUGAAAGGAUUCAGCGCAGAUGCAAAGGUUUGUUUUUUACUUCCUCUAAUCUAUCAACUUAAAUUGUGAAUUAGGAAAUAUCUAUGUUUCAAUUUCAGUGGGAUUUGGACCCAUUUCUUUGUAAAAUUCAUUUGGCACGACACUGAUAAGAGUGAAAAAAUUACUGUAUGAACAUCAGAACAUGGAUCAACAGUGUGACAAGAAGCACGUGCUCUUAAUGUGCUUUUGACCUAUAUUAAUAUUCUAUUUACCUAGCAGAAACUGUAUGAGGAAGCAAGCCAAGUGGCAAAUGAUGCUGUAGGCAGUAUAAGAACAGUUGCUUCUUUCUGUGCCGAAAAGAGGGUGAUGGAAUUAUACCAGGAAAAAUGUGAAGGACCAAUUAAGACAGGCAUAAGGCGAGGGAUAAUAAGUGGAAUCAGUUACGGGGUAUCAUUCUUCUUGCUUUACGCAGUUUAUGCAUGCAGUUUUUAUGCUGGAGGUCGACUAGUAGAGGAUGGAAAAUCAACAUUCUCAGAUGUUUUCCGUGUAAGUUGCUCUCCUAACUUGUUCACUGAGUCAAAAUUUUCAGCACUUUUCUUCUUGUCAUCACAAUUUCUGCUAGGCUAUUAUUGACUGAGCUAGGAUGGUUCUGUGUACAAUGUUUCGCCUGUUUUUCUUGUACUAACGUUAUUGAUUCCUGAUUUCCAGGUCUUUUUUGCAUUCAGCAUGGCAGCUAUGGGAAUCUCUCAAUCUGGCUCUUUGGUACCUGAUUCAACUAACUCAAAAAGUGCUGCUGCUUCUGUAUUUGCUAUUCUUGAUCGAAAGUCACAAAUUGACCCAAGUGAUGACUCUGGAUUCACAUUGGAAGAAGUCAAGGGAGAGAUUGAAUUUAAAAAUGUAAUUUUCAAGUAUCCUACCAGACCUGAUGUUCAAAUAUUCAGAGAUCUUUGCUUGACUAUUCAUAGUGGGAAGGUAACUCUCUAAUUGUGCAUCUUGUCUGAUAGAGUAGGGUUAAUUGUUCUUCCUAAACUAUUAGACUGAUUGACUAUACUGAUAAAAUAAACAGACUGUUGCACUGGUUGGGGAAAGUGGAAGUGGAAAAUCAACAGUGAUCUCACUAUUGCAGAGGUUUUAUGAUCCAGACUCAGGUCACAUUACACUGGAUGGAAAAGAAAUCCAAAGGAUGCAAGUUAAAUGGCUAAGGCAACAGAUGGGUCUGGUGAGCCAAGAGCCUGUGCUGUUUAAUGACACCAUUCGUGCAAAUAUUGCAUAUGGCAAAGGCGGGAAUGCAACAGAAGCAGAAAUUAUAGCUGCAGCAGAACUGGCAAAUGCUCAUAAUUUUACUAGUAGUUUGCAGGAGGUAAAUUACGGUGUUCUAUAACUCACUUUUCUUAAGACUAGUGCAACUGGUGUAUGUUGAAAAUUUCAAUUUUGUACAAGUUUUUAAGACAACAUAGGAUGUUAUGAAGAAGGUAUGAAUUGUUGAGAGGAAUAUUUGAUGUAUGCAGGGUUAUGAAACAGUAGUAGGGGAGAGAGGGAUUCAACUAUCUGGAGGGCAGAAGCAGCGAGUGGCAAUUGCACGAGCUAUAGUGAAGAAUCCAAAAAUAUUAUUACUAGAUGAAGCCACGAGUGCACUUGAUGCUGAGUCUGAAAAGGUGGUUCAGGAUGCACUAGACCGUGUUAUGGUGAACCGAACCACAAUAGUAGUGGCUCAUAGGUUAUCCACUAUAAAGGGUGCGGAUUUAAUUGCAGUAGUUAAAAAUGGUGUGAUAGCAGAGAAGGGAAAGCAUGAAGCAUUACUCAGCAAGGAAGGUGAUUAUGCUUCCUUAGUUGCAUUGCAUACAACUGCUUCUACAUCUUAGUGCCCUGACCCUAUACAGUUCUAGACUGGUUGUGUCUCAGCAAAAUUUACUUGCUCGGCACUUUUGUGCUUCUCAAUGAUGUCACUCUUGUGGCUUCAUUUACGUGUACUAUGUUGUUUCUGGAGUUUUAUUGGUCAUCUGUAUUGUAUUUAUACGACUUUUUUACUAUGUAGAACUCUCCAACCUACGAGUUUGAUGUUAAAAAAAAAGUUGAUAUGAAAAUACUAUACUCUAAGUAGUUCCAAUUGCCCCAUAUAUUUGGUGUAUGUUAAUAUUCAAUGAGUGUUCCCUUUCGUACCUUAGUGAGUCAGCAAUCACAGACAUGGUUGAAAAGAAAUAGUUCUAAACUCUGUAGUAGGCGAACAGAAUGUUUUACAACUGAAGUUACCUUCUUUCUCAAAUAGUUAUUAAACAAACUUAUACACACUUUUUUCUCUCUCAAAUAGUGUAUAUUCUAAUUAAAUUCACAAAAGAAUGCUUUGCCGGUCCACCCGGUUUAAUAAGUAAUAAGUGACCAAGUUCGGUUUGGUUGAAAAAAAUGUGAAAAUGUACAAACUAGAGUAGUGAUCACUUGGUUCACAUUAAACUUCAUGUCAAAUAUCUCAAUAUUACAAAAUAUUGAGAGUCAAAUAUCUCAAUAUUACAAAAUAUUGAGAUAUUUGUGGUUAGCCUAAUAUGAACAUACUUGUAUUCACACUUUGAAGCUUUAAUUAUAAAUUCUUGAACUAAAAUAAUGAAUAAGAUUUAUCUAAUUUAGUUUAUUUUGACCAUAACUGUUAAUAUUGACAAGUGCUAGAUUCCAGUAAUAUUUUAUAUUAAAAUAGAGACACUUAUGGAUAUUAAUUGAUAAAAUACCUAUAAAAUAACUCCUAAUUUAUGAAUUUAAACCUUUUUACUAUUUUGUGAUUUUAAUUUGAAUAAAAACUAUUUAUUUCCAAAUAUGUGUUAAUUUUAGGAUUCUAGGGAAGAAUUGAGAGAGAAAAGGGCAAAAGAAGAAUAUAUAAAGCUAAAAAGGGAAAGCUGAAACAGAUUAGCACUCACUCAAGCUAGAAGGCCCAGAGGAUCUUGCCUAAGUGAGCCUAAUCUCACCCAAGCGAUAUCACUAAAGUGAUUGGCCUUUUUUCGUGCAACUUGCCCAGGCGAGCCAAUAAUGCCAAAGCGAGAAGUCAGUUAUCCCAAGCCCAACUAGGUUCAAUACGAGGCUUGAGGCACAACCCUAGGAAUCAUUGAGUGGAUUGGAAUCUAGUUGGGAGAAUAGAAGGUGUUAGAAACCCUAACAGAGGUAGUCGUGAAGGAGAAACAUCUUGGAUCUUCUUUUCUUGCUCACCUGCUUGUAAUAACCAACAGUGACUAAUUCUACCAUUUGGGAUUGAGAGUAAUAUGUUCAAACUCUUAUGUAUUGAGGUGAUAUUUAAAUAUAAUAUUAUGUUCUUGAUUGAUGAUCGGUAUUGCCAUUUUAUUUGUAAUGCUUGUUUCUAUGAUCUAGAUUCUUAGAUUUGACUAGAAAGUACUUCUAAGUUUCUUACCCAAAUGAUAAUUCUUAACAUGUUUGAAUAAUAAAUUUGAAAUGUUAAUUGUUAUCAGCGUCUAAUCGUAAUGAUAAUAAUUUUUUAUAAAUAUGUGAGGAAUCGAUAUUUAGGAUAGAAUAUCACCAUGCUAAUCAAAAUACAAAAGAGUAAGAAGGAUGAACCCAUCCCAAUUUUUCCAAUUGAAGCAACAAACUCUUUGACUUGUUUUCUUUUUAUUUUCAUAUUUAAUUUGAAUUUAUUUGGUAUUGUUUAUUUUCAAUUUUUUUUUUUAAAUUAUUCUUUUUAAUGCUAGUGAAACCUUGUGCUAACCUUUGAUUUAGCUGUCUUAUAUGAUAUUAAGAGGUUAAAUUCCCAAAAACCAAUUAUUAUUUGAAGCAAAGAUUGAAAGGGCAGCAAAAAGAAACAGAAAGAUAAAGACAAAAGAGAUAAGGAGACACUAGAAAGGAAUCAUCAGUGACUCCUUCUUUUCCCACUAAUAUUUUUUAGGAGGAAAUCAACAUGGGAGAAGGGCAAACACCACCCGUUAGGAAAACACUUGGAGAUUGUGCCAUGCAACAAGGGCCAAGGCAUUCUUCUAGUAUUACAGUACCUGCUACCACAAGGGCCUUAAAGAUGAAACUCGCUUUCCUUAGUCUCAUUAGUACCCAUCAAUUUACAGCAAUGGAUCAUGAGGAUCCAUAUACACAUUUGUCUACAUUUUAUGAAUUGGUGGGAACAAUGGGCUUUUAAUCAGGUGAUAUUGAAAAUUUUUAUAUGCACUUGUUUCCUUUUCAUUGGCAGGGAAGGCUAAAGAAUGACUUAAAUCAUAUCAAAAUUAGAUUCUCACUAGCUAGAAAGAUGUAGAGGAAAAAUUUAUGCAAAGAUUUUUUCCAAUAUCUCGCUACAUCAAAGCAAAGUAUGAUAUUUCUAUGUUCAUACAAGGAGCAUAUGAAGCCUUUUGUGAGACAUGGGAGAGAUUCAAAAUGAUGCUGGGAAAAUAUCCAAAUCAUGGGUCUGAAGACAUUGCUCAACUGAGCAUUUUCCAUAAUGAUCUCAGAUCUAUACUAAGAUGAUCCUAGAUGUUGUAGCUGGUGGCACAAUGAUGGUUGUUGAUGUGGAACAAGCGACAAAAAUUAUUGAUGCAUUGACAUCAAAUGAUUAUCAAGCCCAACAUGAUAGGUAAGGUAUUCAAAAGAAAGGGUUGUUAGAGUUGAAUACUUCAGAUGCACUCUUGGCUCAGAAUAAAAUUUUGUCACAAAAGAUUGAGACAUUAACUGCACAAAUAGCUAAAUUGCCCUAACAAUUACAAGCCAAAGACGUGCAAUCUUCUCGGAGCCAGAGUCAACCAAUCAAGUAUGAUUUUUUGGAGGUGAUCAUCCCAAUGGUCAUUGUUCUUAUCAAAAUAAUUCAUCUAAAGUAGAAGUAAAUUACAUGAGUACUCAGGGAAUGCAAGGUGGUUUCUCCAACAACAUUAAUUAUCCUAAAGGUUGGAGAAACAAUCAGAAUAAAAAAUUUGGGUGGAAUCAAGAUAGUGGUCCAUCCAAUAAGCAAUGUCCUUUUCAACAACAACAACAACUCCUAUAUCUCUCAGUUCCUGAAAUAUUGAAUAAAUUUGAAGAUGCCUUGGAGAAAUUCAUGAAAGCUACCAUGACCAGUCAAGAGAAUAAUAUAACAACAAUUAGAAAUAUAGAAACUCAGGUGGGACAAAUUUGCAAACAAUUAGUAGAUGAACAAAGUGGCCAGUUUUCUGCCAACACCAAAACCAACCCAAAAGAGCAUUGCAAUACAAUGGCCUCUGAAAGUGGUAGAAUAGUAGAGAAAGGAAUGAUAAUAAUGUAGUGGCUAAAAAAGAAAGGAAAAAUGAGACUGAGGGGGAGAGAUAUGAGAAAGAAAGAGAGAAGAAAAGGAUUGACGAAGAAAAGAUAGAGGAAAAAAAGUGAAAAAAAUGAGAGAAGUGUUUUUGAAAAAGAUUUAUCAUAUCUUCAUGCUCCUUCAAAAAAAGAGAAGGAGAGAAUUUUUUUUGAUAAUUUGCUCCCUACAAAUUAUUUUGCAGAAAAUUUGAAGCAAAAUUCAACAUUUGAGAGAUUUAUGAAGAAUAUGAGUUAUAUUGAAGAGAGAAAUAUGGAGUUGGAGGCUAGAUGCAAUGCCAUUAUUCAUAAAAGGCUUGCCUAAAAAAUCCAAGGACCUAGGAAGUUUUAAUCUUCAUGUGUCUAUAGGUGCUUUAUUUGUGGACAACGCCUUACUGGAUUUGGGGGCAAGCAUAAAUCUAAUUCCUUUGGCAAUGCUGAAGAAAAUAGAUGAUUUGAAGAUUAAACCUACCAAGAUGACAUUACAGUUAGCUGAUUGAGUAACCAAGUAUCCAUAUGGUGUGGUUGAAGAUGUUCUCGUUAAGGUGGAUAAAUUCAUAUUUCCUGUGGAUUUUGUUGUGAUGGACAUGGAAGAAGACGAGAAGGUCCUUGAUUCUUGGCAGACAUUUCAUGAAGAUUGCUAAAAUUAUAAUUGAUGUUGAUAAGGGAAAACUUAAAGUAAGAACUCAAGAUGUUGAGGUAACUUUUAAUCUUUAUUAUGAUUUAAAAAAUUCUAAUGCAGGGAAGGAAUGUGUGUGUGAGUUAUGGGUAGUUUGAAUUUGUAAAUCCACUCUUAGUUAGGAUCCGAAGUUGGAUUAAAUCAAAUCCUUUUGAAAAAGAGUUUUUUACAAAGAAGUCGAAAAACAACCAGUUGUUUUAUCAUUUCAAUAAGUUGUUUUACACUUAGUGUUUUUGAAACAGGUUUUGACAAAGCUUGAAAUUGGUUGACCUUGCUGUCAAACCAAUUUAAUCGGUUGUUUCGAUGUUUCAACCAAUUAUUUUUUGAAAAUCCUUAACAAAAUUUGUUAAGUUUGGUAAAUCUGUUUUAAUUGAUUCAAAACUAGUUUGGCUUUUGCAUUAAAUGUUUUUAAUAGCCAUUUGCAGUUUAAACAAUUUGUUUUACGCUCCUGGUAGUUAAGAUAUCAGAUUAACAUCUUUCAAAUCAGUUUUCUCCAAGAUUGGCUUCAAGCUUUGAAUUUUGCUAAGAGUGGAAUAAGACUGCUUUGUAACUUUUGAAUUCAAUCUGUAUUAGGUGUGAUCAAUCAUUUUUCUCUCUUGAAUACUAAUUCUGUAAACGUGUUGUGUGCAGAUCUAGAGGGUGUUCUGUGAUCUGUAAUUUUUUGCUUUUCAAAGGAGGUGUGUGUUCUUGAAGGCUUCAAGGUCACCUCUUUGAUGUGUGGUUUGUAAUCAAGGUCGUCGAUUACUUAGUGGAAUACUCAGUGAUUUUUGGGGACUGGAUGUAGCUCUUGGUAUAAGAGUGAACCAAUAUAAAUUUUCUGUGUGAUUCUUUCUAUCAUUAAUCUCAUUUAGAUAUGUUUUGACUUGUUUUUCUUAACUGCUGAUAAAAACAACCGGUUGAAUCGCAUAAACAAUCGGUUGAAUUUUUGGAAACAUAAUAAAACAAAUAUGUUUCUUGGCUAACUUGAUUUCUUUCUCUUUGAUUCUUCACUGGCUUUCUCUAUAUCUUCAAAGUUUACAAAAAUCUUUUAAAAACAAUUCACCCCCUCUUGUUUAAGGCCUACAAUUCUAACAUUGAUAACAAUUAACAUUUCAAAUCUACUCCUAACAUUCAAAUAUGUUAAGCAUUAUCAUUUAGGUCAGAAACUUA
rnacentral:lncRNA from 1 species